rnacentral:lncRNA from 1 species
CAUCUAACUCCGGUUCACCUGUUAAUACUUUGAUGUAAUUUUCACGGAUACCUUCUUCCCUUUGCUCUGUCAUGCUUUUAGCAGGAUCAAUUCUGGGAUUUGUCCAAAUCACCAUGUUCCAAUAAUCACGACCCACCCAUAACAAGGAAUGAUGUUACGAAAAUUAUAUGGUGAAGACAACUUCACAAGAUGAUGCUUCACAUUUUACCAAAUUCUGCCACAUUCUAGCACAUGUAGCUUCGAUUUUAUGGGGCUGCAAUUUUUUUGGUUUCCCUAAUUUGUGAUAUGAAAUAAUGAAAUACGAAUUUGGUUAUCUCGUUUGCUGCUUCUAAUGCUUUCCUCUUUCAAAACCUAGAUACUGUACUUUCUUUCUUCAAUUUUCUGGCUUUUCCAGCGACCACUCGUCACUCAUCAUUUCCAUCUCAAAUUUUCUUUACCGGCUAACCCCUUUGCUUCCUUUUUUCAACAACCGUUUUAGCAGGUAGCCAUUCUUUUGUUUUUAAAAAUGAAUAUCCAACCACUACCUGAACCUUGUUUUACGUUAUGUUUCACCACACCCGUUGGAUCUGCAAAUUAAGGAAUCCAACGGUUCAUGUUCUGGUAUUAUUAAUAACAUCAAAUGUAAGUUAAGUGCUGCCGUAGUUUUCAAUGCUUAAAUUUAGAGGAAUUGUUUGCAGACAUUCAAUUGUAGUCUUGACUCGAAAUAAUAUUUUCGUACUUUUAAAAAAGUACAUCCUACAAAGAUGGCGGAAAGAUGUUUGAAAGGAUUUCCACAAAAGAAUAGAAGCUAUACAAAAAAUGUUGACUACUUUUUAUUGAGGUUGCAAGCAUUGGUUUAGGAUGUGUAGAAAGUUGUAAUAUGAUUUUGUAUUGGACAAGAACACAUUGAAGACAUUACCAGAAAAAAAAGUAAGUUCUAGAGCCAACUAGCCAACUAUAAUUUGGCACAAAAGUGGUACUGUCAAUAUCGAAAAUUCUGCAAACAUACAUGAUCCAGUAGCAACUUGAAAUAAGGUUGUUUGCUUUGCAAGAGGAAAAAGUCAACUGUAAGAAAAGUAAACAAAAGAUAAAGAAAGUGGUACCCUCACGCAUAAAUGUUGAGGUAAUUUCAUGCAAUAGAGUCAUUUGAGUUGAAAUGUCAUUUGUCUAUUUAAUUUUAAUUUAUUUUAUUAUAAUUUACAAGAACCACAAGGAAACAUUCCAUUGAAAACAUAUAAAUAAAAGAAAAGUAAAGUUAUACCAUAAUCAUUAGUGUUGAGGAACUUUAUGCGUUAGAGUCAUUUGAGUUGAAUUGUCAGUUGUCUAUUUAUACUCAAUUUAUUUUCUACAAUUUAUAGAAAUCACAAAGGAACAUUCCAUUUUUUGAAGUAGUUACUGGAAUCUAGUACAAGAGAGCACUAUAGUAAAGAGAACUAUUUAUCCUAUCCUUGAAUUCAUUAAAAGUUAAUUUUUAUUAUAGCUAUACAUUUUCUUUGUAAUUUAAUAUUUUCUGUAGGUACUUGGGAUGCUAUUCAUCUGUUGUUUACCACGAUCAUCACUUUGUAAGUGGAGUUUGGUAUUUUAUGGCGUUAUGUUUACUUAUUAUAAAUUUUAAUAGAAAUAAUUUGGUUAUUUACUUUACAAUAUAAAAACACAGCCUUUCAUUCCAUGUCACUUUGAUGCCUUAUUUGGAUUCUUGGAUGAUUUUUGGAGAAAUUCAAUAUAUGAAUUUUCAACAACUAUUACUUUGGUAAUGUAAGAAAGAUAGCUUUGAAAGUGUACUUCCAACUGGUGAAUAAAAGAUUCUUUAUGUGGUGUUUGUGUGGAGUCUUUUGGAUUGUAAUCUAGAUUUUGUUGCAUACUGUUGAUGCAAAAGUGAUGUUUACAUGCUGGUAUAUUUUGGAUUUUUUUAAUACAGUUGCUGUAAAAGUGAUGUAAUGUGCUUUGGAUAAUAUUUCAAAUACUCUAGUUUAUUUGUUAAUUGAUAAUGAAACAUUUAUAAUGGAUAUGAUGCUUGAUAAUGUUAAAUUGUAAUUUGGAUUUUGUUGGGUAAUAUAACUACAAAAGUGGUGUUUAUGUACACGUAUAUUGUUGUGAAAAAGUAGUGUUUAUGUGCAGGUAUAGUGACAACUACAAAAGUAGUGUUUAAAAAAUGUGUCACUUAAGAUUUUCUAAAGAACUACUUGUUGUCUUUCCAAAGAAAUUUUCCAAAGCGAUUAAGAAAAUGAAAGAUAAUGGGAAAAAAUGUUGAUGAAGUGCCUAUAAUAUAUCAGUUUCCAGGUCAAGCUCAAACAAACAACUGAGGCAGAUUUCACAUGCUCUAUGAAUAGAGCAGGAUCAAGAACAGAAAGAAACCACAUGAAGAUCAACUACGUUCACUAAGACAUAUAUAAAGUUUGGUCUAAACAUAUCUUUAUCCAAUACAUAAGUUCAAAGUCAAACAACUAGAAAUAACACUUAAAUAGAAAACAUAGUACAAUAACCACUACAAUUAUUUUAAUUAAAAUUUCCUAUUGUUAUUUAUCUUGUUCAUAGUUCAUUUUUGAACAAUCACUUAGCACUUCACAUUGUAGCAUCCAUUCAAAUUCUUUAUGAAAUAACUGAAAUUUAAUGGAUAACCAUUCUAUCUGCAAUGCCAACUUUCUAAGAAGUCAAUUUUCUCUUUGCUAUUCUUUCAGUCUACUGCGCAUUCAAAGCUAUUACAUUUAACAACUCCUUAUGAUUACCAUAUUUUUUCACAUACUUGCAGUGAGUUUAAAGUUCACUUGUGGUAGAUAACAUUGUGAUUAAGAGACUAUUGGAGCUAGCAAACAUAAAACUAUCAUCAAUUAGGCAAUGAUAUGCUGGCUAGAAAAAAUUCAAUACAAAGUAUUGCAACUUUUUACUACUAUAAAAUUCAGCUAUCUAAAAUAUUCAAUGUACAUUUUCCAACACUCCAAAAGCUUAUACAAAAUUAAAGCCAUCAUCAAAUUAAAAUUUUCAUGAAAGAUCAAGAUAAAAUGCCAUCAAACAAAAGCCAUCACCCUACAAAUCAAAUACCAAAAAAUAAAAAAUAAAAAAUAAAACAUACUUAAAUGGUGAUGACAAGUGAAGAAGCUAGAAUGGUGUUGUGUAGGGGUGGGCGUCAGUUUGGUUCAGUUUAGUUUUGGAUCAUUCGAGUUCGAAAAUUAAAAAACCGUUCGGUUUUUUUGAAAAUAAAAUCCAAACCAAAAUCGAUAGGUCGGUUUCAGUUCGGUUUCAAAUCGAUUUCGGUUUUCUUAACGGUUUUAUUUAAGCAAUUGGUUUUUCGGUUCAUCUUAACAGUUUGGUUUUCAGUUCGAUUUUUCGGAUCAUUUUCUAUUUCAAACCAUGUACAAUAAUUUCCUCAUUUUCAAUAACUAUAUAAUAUAUUCACAGUAUGUACAAUCUACGAUUUCAUCAAUUAAUCUACAAUUAGUAUUACCAACACCAUUUUUACGAGCUAAAGCACAUUGAUUUUCAUUCAUUUUUUUAUACACAUGACACCUUUUUAACAAAAGAGCUCUUAAGCCAGAAGUUCCUUUAAUACUUUCACAUACAUACUCCUUCUUACAAUAGUUACACUUCAUUUUUUUUCCUCCAGGUAGCUUUGAAAAUGAUUGCCGAACGUCUGAUCUUAAGCAUCUACCCCCUUUUUCAUUCUCAACACCCUCAUCAAAAUCAUCCUUUAUAAUCUCCUCUACAACAUUAUUAUUUUCUUCCAUCCUACAUACAAGGCCUACUAUAAUCAAUGUAUAAUCAAACAAAAAUAAAUAAUUUACAAAUUUGUAUUUUAAAAAAAGGCAAGAAUUUUGGACUAAAACGAAGAAUUUUUAGAAUUAUAGCUACUAUUUUUAAUAUCAAAAGUUUUGUCCCAAAAUGUAAAUAAAAAAAUAAGUAUUUGUGCCGUAAUAGAAAUUAGCAAAAUAUUAGGGGCUGAAAUGAUAUUUUAUCUUGUUGACCUUCGGUCAAGGACUAUUAUAAAAAGUUAUCAAAUAAAUCAAAUUAUAAUAGAAUUUCUAUAUGUAAACAUAUCUUAAAUAUUGAGCCAUACUAAAAUUUUAUAAAAAAAAAGAUCUAAACGAUAUUAUCCCUCCAUCAUCUUCAACAUUUCGUGACUUUCUUAGUCCUCAACCAACCCUGCCAGGAGCACAGUAUCCAAACGAAAAAAUUAAAAAAAUACAAUAACAUAGGCAAAGCUAAUAAAACUAAAUAAUAUUAAUAACUUAAACAAAUGUGAAAUAAGAGCAGAUCAAAGAGCCAUUUCAAAAAAAAAAAAAGACCCAUUUAAAAAAAAACUGAGUAAGUUAGUCACAAAUGAAAACAAACCCAUUACCUGAUUGGCUACCUAGCGACGAAGUAAGGAAUGAAAUGCAGCGGAAGGUUGGCAGCAAGGAGAACGGGUAAAGGCAGAUGCGAGUUAGGGUUUGAGUCGUGGGUAAGCGGUUGUGCUGCAGCUGAAAGUGAGAGAGAGAGAGUGGUGCAAACUGCAAAUGUUUAACUUGUGUAUAUAUAUGUUCUAGCAAAAUUACGAAAAUGCUUUAAAUUUGGUUCGGUUUGGAUUUUAUAAUUUUUUAACCGAAAAUCGAACCGAACCAAACCACUCGGUUCGGUAUUUAUAAAUCGAGAUUUUUAGUUAAAAAAACUUAACCGAAACCGAAAAAAACCAAUUCGAACCGAAUGUUUUUUAGUUCCGGUUCGGUUUUACCCACCCUUAGUGUUGUGGAGUGAUUUGGGUAUAAGGAAUUUUGCGAUUUUGGGUUUGGGGAACAAUUUGGAAGAUAAUGGAUUUGGGGAUUUUUUGGUUGAAUUUUAUUUUAUUUUUACUCUUUAUCACAUGAAAAACACGUGAGACUCAUUAAAAUUCCAAAAAACACUCAGUGCUGUCCUUUCGAUCUUCUCAAGCUUUAAUAAGCUUAGUACAUAUAUCAUUUUCCAUUUUUAAAAUAAGGUGGAUUUGUAAGUUUUUGCUAAGUUGAUUCAAUAAUAUUGCAACAAAAUAUAAGACGAAGUCUUACAUUGUGUAAGUCCGAUAAGUUGUAAUCUUUAUAUACUAAUGGUGUAUUUACUAAUUAGUAAUCAAAAUAAACCAUAAUUAAAAUGGGUUGGCAUCGAAUGGGUAAUGAGAAUAAAAAUAAGUUGCUUACUUUAAUUGUAGGAAUUGUAAUAGAAAUGAGUUGUAUUCUUAAUGCGGUGUUUACUUUGUUCUCAAAUUAGAAUAUAUUUUUUCCAAUUACUUAAAUACCCUUAGUUAAUUAUUGUUGUUGUUAUUAUUAUUAUUUAUUAUAGCAUCUGUGAUUUUAUAUUAAAAAUUAUUAUUAUUAUUAUUAUUAUUAUUAUUAGAACAUUUGUGUUAUUAUUAUUAAAAAAUAACUAUAGUAAUAAUAAUACAAACAACUUUUCUUUUUCAUUAUGAUUAAUCACAAUUUCUUCUUAAUCAUCAUCAUCAAAAUCACAUCUCAAGCUCAAUACUACAUCUUUUAGCUGUUGUGACUCCCUCACCAAAUCUGAUGAUGCAGCAUCAUCAAUGCCAUCAACAUUCAUUGACAUCAUCAAUUAUUAUUAUUAUUAUUAUUAUUAUUAUUAGAACAUUUGUGUUAUUAUUAUUAAAAAAUAACUAUAGUAAUAAUAAUACAAACAACUUUUCUUUUUCAUUAUGAUUAAUCACAAUUUCUUCUUAAUCAUCAUCAUCAAAAUCACAUCUCAAGCUCAAUACUACAUCUUUUAGCUGUUGUGACUCCCUCACCAAAUCUGAUGAUGCAGCAUCAUCAAUGCCAUCAACAUUCAUUGACAUCAUCAAUCUCAUCAUCAACAUCAUCAAUCUCAUCAUCAAUGUUCAUCAACAUCAUCACAAUCAAAUCUUUGACAAUCAGCAAAGGUCUAACCAGUGCAAGGCUGAUGAUUAGUGACAAUUUGUAGGGCAUGAGGCUAAUGAUUUGUAGUGGUGUGAGGCUCUUCUGCAUUCAAUGACCAACAUACAAUGGUUAUGGCUCUUUGUUUCGAUCAACAAUCGUUGUUGGUUUUGAAUUUCUUUUUUUUUUUAAGCGGAGAAUAAAUUUGAGUUAUGAAAUUUUUGUGGGGUAAAAAUGCCAGAUCCAGGAAUGAGAGUUUGAUUCCCAAGUUCUUCAGACAUCAACUCUUAUUCACCCAUGGACCUUACGCAAACGAUUCUCAAUCCCAUCUCUAUUUUGUAAAGUAAAUGUUGCAAUGAUUCCGAUUCCAGAUCUUGAUUUUCCAAUCCUACAAGUAAAUGCACCAUUAGUGAACUCCAUAAUAUCUAGAUGUGUCCACGUGGAUAAAUGAUUAUUUUUCAAACCAUGUAAAGAUUUUUGUAUGCAUUAUUUUCUAUCAUUUUUAUUACUUGCACUUAAAUUAAUUAGUUUAAUUAAUUUAGGAUAAUAAUCUGCCUACACUUACAAAAUAGAUCUAAUUUUUUAUAUACUAAUACUACUUUAAUUAGUUCACCAUUAGUCCAUUACUACCAAUAUUUAGAAAGAAAAUCUCUUUUCUUCCAGAGACUCACUUGAAAACUACCAAAAGCUUCUUUCAUUGGACAAAAUGAACCCAUAUUGUCAUUGGGCUAUUGUUACUUGCCAACUUGGCCGAGUAAUCUCAUUGGUUCUCUUAUUCAAAGGCCCUAUUUCUGUUUUCCUUUUCUCUUUUUUAUGCCUCAGAGUCCUUGAUCUUUCUUAAAACCCUCUCUUUGGUAAACUUGUUCUCUUCUCAAAUAUCCAACCUUAAUCGACUGGAACCAUUGUCUCUAAAUGAAAAUAAGUUGUUUUGUCUUGAAUCAAUUCAAUCAUCUAACUUUCCUGGAAACCAUCUCAGCACAACUUUUGAUUUGUCAAAUAAUGGAUUGAAUGAGACCAUCUUGAGUCGACUCGGUGGCUUGACUCACUUGUAGAACUUGGACCUUUGUGACAAUUGUCUCUUCGGUUUACUCCCUGUUCUUGUAACUCUUUUGAUAAUUUUUUUUUAUCUUCAAAUAUAUCAAAGAACUCGUCUUUUCCUUGGUUAAGUUAGAUUGGGUUGCUUUACUCAUUUACAUUAUUAGAGAUGUCCAAUGAGCUGGACAACACAAGACAUAGCAUGGCACAACAUGGUACAAGCACGAACACAAUGAAUGAUAAUGACAUUUUAGUAUAUAUUAUAUGCUUGCUCUAAUGCACUUCUUUUUUAUUUACAAGGAAAUUUAAUUUUCCACCAUAAAUUGCUAACUAAAUUAACUUUUAUCUAGCUUUUAACCAAUUUAUAGUCUUAACCUACAUUUGGCUUGAUAAAAUCCUCUGUUGACCCAAAGAGUCAUGCAAACCUUAGUUUUGAUGAUAACAGCUCUUGAAAGUCAGAGUGAUUCAUUUGAGAUCAAGCUCAAAGGAUUGUGGGACAUGCUCACGAGGCACAACACAAGCAUGGCACAACAUAAGUACGAACAAAAUAGAUGAUGAAGGCAUAUUAGUAUGUAGUAUAUGCUUCUUCUGGUUCACUUCUUUCUUGAUCAAGGCAACUGAAUUUUCCACUGUAACUUGUUUACUAACUUCAUAAACAACUUUCCCUAAACUCUUAAGGUGAGUCCAUCCAAUAUUUAACAAGACUGAAAAGUUUAUCAAUAAGAAUUUUUGCCUAAAAGUUUGCAUAAUCUCCCUUAUAUUUUUUAUAUUUCUAACCUGUAAAUCUAUAAAAUAAGCACUCUUUAAAGUAAUCCAAUAUUCAACCAACUUUCUUAACCAUAUAAAUAAUAUAAUUAAAUGAUCUCAUCCAAUUAUCACCUGACAUCUCUAAAGUAUUAAAAGAGUAUAUUGUCGCUAAUGCCACAACUACAACAAAUUUAACUUUUUAAGACGAUAUUUUUUACAACAUUUUUAAAUUUGGUCACAAAAUGGUACUUAUUCUGACAAAAUUUUCAAAUCGUAGCUAAUAGUCUAGUCUUGACUUAUAAUACAUUUUGUCACCAAUAAUUUUUAUUUUGUGACCCAUUAAUUGAACUUUUUUAUGACAAAAAUUAUUUUAGUUGCCAAAAGACAUAUUUUUUUGGUGCAAAAAUUUCCCUCCAAAAGUGAAUAUUUUGUGACAAUAUUUCACUAUUUAUGACAAAAUAAAUGGUCACGAAAUAUAAUUAUAAAAGACAACUAUUUUAUAACUAAAAGAGAAGUGUAAAAUUGGCCAAACAAUCUGCAACACAAGAUAUUAGUCUUCAAAACUAUUGUAGUUUUGGCUAAUUUUAGGACCAUAUUUUUUGUCAUAUAUAAUUACCUAUGAUGACAAAACUAAGAAAUAGUAGUUGAAAGUUUUGUCUUGAUUAAUUUUAUAUUUUAUAACUAAAUUUGUUCCUUUUGAGACACAUUACUUGGUAGCUAAAAAAUAGGAUAAAAUAUUUUUUCUUUCAAUAGUUGCAAAAAGAUUUUUUUUGGGGCAUAAAAAAGGGUCCAAAAUUAGCUAUUUUGGGACAACAUGUAAUCUUUUAUGACAAAAUAUAUAGUGGCAAAAUAUAAUUAUUUUGAUAAAACUAUUUAGUAGCUAAAAAAGAAGUACAAAUUCUAUCAAACUAUUUGUGACAUAAAAUAUUAAUUUCAAAAACUAUUAUGCUUUUAGCUAAUGUUAAGACCUGUUUUUUGUUGUUAUGUAUAACAAUCAAUCUAAAUAAAAUUAAGAAAUAGUAGUCAAAAGUUUUGUCUCAAUUGAUAAUAUAUUUUGUGGCCAAAAUAUUCUAUCUUUGUGACACUUUACUUGGUCUCUAAUUAAGCUUUUUUGUGAUGAUCAAUAGAAUUACAUAAUAAUGACUAAGUUUUUUAGUUAAAUUAUAUAUUUACUAUUAAUUAAGUUGUUGGCAAUAAUGACUAAAUCAAUACUAAUUCGGAAUACCAUCAACAACCAUAAUACUAAUGAAACAAAAAAUUUUAAUAUGUAGUGAAAAAAUUUUAACAACUGUCCCUAGGAUUUAGAAUUAUUUUGACUAAUUAUUCUAACAAUUUUAUUUAGGGAUAAAUUUAAUAAUAUAAUUGCUCCAAUUUUAAUUGCUUAUAUCGGAUUAUGAAAAUCAAUAAGAAAAUUAAACUUGUUGUGUGUGUGACAAGUCUUUAUUUGUUUCCAAAAUAUAAAGUACUCAACCUAAUUACUACUACAUAGUAUUUAUUUUAUCUCCUGACUCAGUUAUUCUGAUUAACUCACAAAAAAAAAAAAAAAAAAAAAUCACGGCUUGAAAGUAAAAAUCCGUAAUUACUCUGCUCAAAGUCGAUGAUAUCUCCUUCCACCACCAAAAUAGCCAUUCAUCUCUUUUAUUUAGCAUGAUGUUUUUCUUAAACCUAGUUUAUCAUUCUUCAAUGUCUUUAGGAAUAUAUAUGGUACGCUAUUUUCUCCUUCAAUUGAAUAAAAGUGUGAAACCUCUUUUUUUUUUUUUUUUUUUUUUUUUUUUCAAUUCACUUUUGUGGUUUGGACGGAAAUCAUGAAAAUAAUUGAAUAUGAGGAUAAAUAUCAAAGAAGCAGCGUAUAUGCCUUCUAUAUCUCUCUUUGGAUGAAUAAUGGAGUUGAUGUUUCAAAGUACAGAGCUUUGCAAAUUUUAAUUGUCAUUUGCAUUGCUGCACGCCAGUUGUUUGAUAAAUUACCGCAACGAAUAAGCAUUCUUGAUUUUCUUAUAAAUUUAUUUUCUUUGUAAUCUGAAGACGCUUGAAUGUUUAGAGAAUUUGAAGGCUUUGGUAUAUCCAUUAAUAUUUUCAUUCGAUUUAUGUUGUUUAACUAAUGAAGAUGAUGAUACAUAUAGUCUCUUUUUUUUCCGUUUGUUUUUAUUCUUAUGCUUUAUAUAUGGUUCAAGCGUUAUACUUUAGUUUUUCUCAAGUGUUUGUUUGUAUUUUCAGAAGCAAAAAUUGUCUUAGAAUUUGAGUCCAAAAGUUGAAAUCAUUAUUAACAUACUUUAAAUUUUUUAUUUUCCUUUUUUUUGUAGGGUCCCAUAUAUCAUUCUAUAUGGUAUUACUAGCAUCACAUGGAAAAUAUACUUAGAUUAUUACUAGUAUAGAAUUGUUGCUUGGAACUUUGAAGGGUUGGCCACUAGGCUCUAGUCCCACAAGGACAUUUUAUAUUUUGUAGCUAGUUGGGCAUUUUAUUUGAUGUUAUGUGGACUUGUAGGCGUUAAAAUUUUUAUUCAAUAAUUUUAUAAUUCGGAUUCUAUUCUAAUAAGAUAGCAAUUUUUAUUGUGGAUCAUAUUCUGUGAACCAGUAUUUAGCUAAAAUAUCUCACUAAACCCUAUUGGUUAGACAUUUUUCAAUUUGCGUACUUGAUUUUUAUUUUCCUUUUAUCUGUAGGAUCUCAUGUAUCAUUCAAAAGAAACAAGUUAUUACCUAAUCUAUUCUUUAGUCCAUUUAUAUAUAGUGAGUACCCCAAUUUCUGGUAUUUGAAUUUUUUUUGCUAUUAUUACAACUCUUUCAUCCCUUCAAGAAGGGAUCAGGCAAUUGAUAGCCUCAGCUUAGCAGAAUGGGUGAGUACAUUGCUACAAAUUCAAUUUUUUUUUUUCAUUUUAUCCCUAACUACCUAAUAUAUUAUUUUAAUUUCCAGCGUUUAUCAAAGUCUAAUAGGUAGUUGUCUUGUCAUUAUUUGGUUUCAGGUAAGAAGAGAGAAAGUUAGCGAGAGGACGAAGAUUUUGCGAAAUCUUGUUCCUGACUGUGGUAAUUUAGUAAUUUGAGUUCUAUUUUUCUGUUUGUUUAUUAACUUUUUCUUGUCUUAAAACAAAAAAUGAGUUUUCAUGUUUAUAAUAAUUCUUACAAACUUCCCAUGGCUUAGCAUAAAAUUAGGUAACUGGAAAGGUCCUUAUGUUUGAUGAAAUUAUCAAUUAUGUGCAGUCCCUACGAAAUCAAGUGGAGGUUACAUAGCUACUAAAAACCCUUAUUAACACAAUAAUAAAGAAUUAAUCUUCUUUAAUAUACUGUUGUAUUCCAGCAUAGUUUUUUUUUCUAUUUUAAUUUUUACUGAGUUUUGCUUUUUUUUUAGGGCACUAUUUUCUCUUAAUUUUGUGCAUUAUUUUUUACUAUUUCUAGGUCUUUCUAUAUUGGCUUUGGAUCACUAUAGUUGCUGGUUGUGAUUUAUUGUAGCAUAUUAUUGUAGGCCUCUGUAGUUGCUGAGUUUUUUUUACUGCAGCUACUUUAUUAGAGCACUUCUACGUAUUGAAGUUUAUGGUUAACUUUUGUUAGUUACUUCUUACUUCUGUUGAUACAUUUUCUUAUCCUUUACACUAAAGAUGUUCUUUUUUUUAAGUAAUUUACUGCUUAAUAACAUUUUCUAACAAUAUCAAUUACAGAAAUGAUCAGGAAAAAAGAAGCAAAAUCCUUGUAAAUUGUCUUCUGGGCUGGGCAUCAUGAUUCAUCAAAGUCUCAUGUGCAAUAUCUGAACGAAAUGGUACUUGAAGCAAUAGAUACUCUGUUUUAUGACUGUUGUAUUUACUGUUUUUUGCAAGGAACCAUAUUUAUUUAGAUUUCAAUGUCAUGCUUUGUAUUUGAAUCUUUUGGAUUAUAAUUAAAUAUUUUAAAUUUUUUUUAUGUGACUAGAAUCUUUUGAUCACUAGAUUUCAAUUUAUAUGAUACAAUAUGUUGUGGAUUUUUUUUUAAUGAUAAUUGGGAGUAAUCACUUUAAUUUUUGGGUAUGAUAUAAAAUAGUCGUCAAAUAACAAAUGCUUACUUUUAAUGAUAAGAGAUAAUGGUCAUCUAAAAUUUGUUGAUACUACGUAAUUGGUCAUGAAAUAAUAAAAUAAAUUUGAGACUAAAUUAAUUACUAAUUGUUUAUAAAAAAAUUGUCACAAAUGACAACUACUUGAGAUGAUUAUAUAAUGUCGUGAUGUACAAACUUGAAUGAUAGAAAAAUAGUGUUGCUAAUUGCAUCGUCGAACCUCUAAUGACGAUUUUUAAUAAUUAUUGCGACUAUAUUUACAUACUCUUAAGACAAAUAUUAUAGUCACUAUAAAUCAUCUACAUUGACAAAUGUCAAGUGUCAUUGAGUGCAUUUUUUAAUCUCUAAUUUGACCAUUUUGAAUACCAUUUGUGACAAUUUUAGUUUAAUUUUAAGACAAUCAUUUUUGUCGCAAAAACAUAUUUUUAAUAUAAUGAAAAUAAUUUUGGUCGCUAGAACCUUUUAAGAAGGUCUUUCCGCGACUAACACAUGACGAUUUGUUUUUUGUCAUAGAAAAUAUAAGGUGACUAAUCUGUUAUCUUUAGUGACUAAAUUUUUUGUUAUAAAAUAUCAUUUUUCUUGUAGUGCACCAUACAUAAUGAUUUAUCCAAUCAGAAUAUAAUUAGACAAUCCAAAAAUAAGAUGAUCAAAAUACCUAAUAAUAUCAUCUAUGUCUCUUAGUACCAUUAUGUGGCCGAAACUCAAAAUAACUAAAGUGGCUAGGUUGGCCGGUGUACCUGAAACCUCCUAUAGGGAGAAAAAAAUAGUAAAACAAGUGAGUAUAAAACUCAGUAAGUGGAUAAUAGGUUUUUAAUAUAAACAUACUUUAAAAUUAUUAUAUUAUUGUAAUAUACAAUUUCUUCAAACUAUAUGUAAAAACGUAAGAAAAUUGUUUUAAAUUUAAAUUAAGUAACUAACAUUAAAAACAAAUAGAUGAUGCUAUACGUAAUAAUGAUGAAAAUCAUAUCAAGAAAUAACAUAUGUAUAUGACAAGUGCGUAGGUGAAUAAUCUUGUCAUACCAAACCUAACACAGGUGGUACAAUGACAUAUUAAAAGUGUACUGGCAUUCCCAGAGCUAUAAUCGGUAGACCAAUAUCGUUCUUUCUCAUAUAUCUUAUCCAAUCUCAUCAUAUCGUGUGUAUAUGAUGACCCCUAAAGGGCAAAAGUGUCCAGUCACAAGACUCAAAACUUUGUGUGUAUUCAGACGGGCCCAAAGACUUUUAGCUUAAUUGUAUCUCAAUAAUUGAAUAUGUAUAACUGCAUCUCUAUUCUCAUCUUUAUAUCUAGGGGAAAAUGAUACUGUCAAAUGAUUUUUUAAAACAAAUUUACUUUUAGCUUAAUUGUAUCUCACUAAUUGAAUAUGUAUAAGGGUAAAAGCUCGUUUAGUCCCUAUAUUUUGAAGUUAGUGUCCGUUUAGUCCCUAUAUUUUUAAAAAUACCUCAAACCAUCCAUACCAUUAAAUUAUUGACACUCUUGCCAUUAUUUUUUGUUCCUUUUAACUUAUUUUUACAAUAUUACCCUAUUAUAAUAAUUUUUUUAGACAUUAUUAAAAAGAAAAAAAAUAAAUUACCAGUUUAACACAAAAAAAAAUAAAAAAUAUAUAUAUUAAUUUUUGUGGAACAGUCUCUUGAGUUAAAAUAUUAAUUUUUCUAAAAAAAUUGAUAAUGUAAUUUUUUACAGUAUUAAUUUUUUAGACAUACGUGAACUUCCACAAAAAUUAAUAUAUACCUUUUUUGUUUUUAUUUUAUUUUUGAGUUUAAUUUGAUAAUCUAAUUUUUUAUUAAUAUCUAAAAAAGAAACAUUAUUGUAAGAGUGUAAUAUUGUAAAAACAAGUUAAAAAGAAUAAAAAAUAAUGACAUGAGUGUCAAUAUUUAGCAUUAGAGACGUUUUGAGGUGUUUUUAAAAAUAUAAGGACUAAAUGGGCACUAACCUCAUGAUAUAGGGAGCUUUUAUCCUAUGUAUAAUUGCAUCUCUAUUCUCAUCUUUGUAUCUAGGGGAAAAUGAUAUUGUCAAAUGAUUUUUUAAAACAAAUUUUUUUACACAUGUAUAUAAGUAUUUUAAAAAUAGUUAAAAUCUAUAUUUCUUUUUACUAAAAUAUACUCAUGCAUCUAAACACAUCAAUAUGCAAGUAAAAUCUCUAUUUGUAGAAAACUUAAUCGAAUGAUCAAAUAUUAGUUUGUAAGCAUGCUUUAUUUUAUUAAAAUUAAAAUCAUAAGGAAAAUAUAAAAUGUAAGUUAAGUAUAUUCUACUCACAACUACAAUACUCAAGCUCAAUUAUUGACGACUUCUGUAGACUGAAUCAUGUUCGUGGCUCUUCCUAAAUCAAGGAGAUGCUAUGAUUACUUUACAAAAAUGAGAAAACUCAAGACUAGGUUUACGUGACAUAAUUUCACAAGUGAUAUUUAUCGUUAAAUCUACAUGUCUCAAAUCCAUACUUGUAGCUUAAAUUACCAUAAUACCCUCAAGUUUUAUGUUACACCUUAUGCUUCAAAUUCCAUAUUUUUUCCUCAAUAAUUGAACUAUAUCUUAUAACACUACUAAAUAAUCCAUGUUAUCAACAAUCUCAUUACUAACUGUAAACUACCUCAACAUAAUGUAAAGCUAUAAGGUAAUUAUAUACCGAAUCGAGAAACAAUAAGGGCUGCACGUCUCAAACUCUACAAUGCCUUGUUGGGGCCCUUAUGCACCUAAAAUAAUCUACCAGUUACAAAAAUUAGCUUUGGACCAACUGUAUGCAUUUGUUGGACACCCUAACUUUAAAUAAAACAUUAAAUUAACUGCAUUCCCAUGUAUUCAAUAUCAAUAUGGAUAGAAUGAUAGAAAUCUUUCUCUCUUUGGUGAGAAAUCAAUCCAACUUGAAAGCUUGAAUCACUUUUCUCACUCUCAAAUCUUCUCUGUACACUUCCUACACUUAAAUUCCUUCUUAAUGCAUGUCCCCAAAUAAAUUUAGCGAUUAAAACACUUUAAAAUAAUUUCUCUAAUCUAGUUGUGUAAGAUCCAUAUUUAAUUCUUGGCAAAAUCCCCAAACCUUGAAAAAUUUCCCAUUUUCUUUCUUUCAUGCCCAUGGCUUCUCGUGUAAAAAAUAGUUAGCGCUUUUUUUUUUUUAGCAUUUUCUAUUUUUUGGGGCUUAUUUAUAAGGAAUCAUUGGGCUUUCAACGCUUAAUAAAUAAAAGAUUAUAAAGAAAGUUUGCAUAGGUUACACUUCACUUUUAUUCGGCGAUAAAAUCGAUCCCACCACUUAUUCAAAAAAUUUAAACAAAACUGUACCAAUAAAAUCCAUCUUGUAUAGUAAAUAGUGAUGGAUUGAUGGUGAUGAAGAUACGUGGUGAGUGAUCGUGACAAUGAACUUGUUGGUGAUGAAGAUAGGUAGUGGCCUAGUGAGGAUAAUGUAUUGUUUGAAAGAGACAGAAAAAUGACUAAAAAAGGAAAAAAAAAAGAAUAGAAUAGAUAUUUUAAUUCUAAUUAGAGUAAUUAUGAAAAUAAAUCAUUUAAUUAAAAAUUUAGGUUUAAUGAGACAAAUUAAAAGGUCAAAUAUCAUUAAUCGUACUUGAAUUUAUGGUUUAAUUUAUAGGUUGUCGUAUGAAAAGUAUGAGUAAACCCUAGUAAUAGAAAUGGAUGAAAAUAUAAUUAGAUUGAAAUGGAUUGGACGAGAUUUAAAUAAAGUUAUAUUUAAUCCCAUAAUUUAAUAAUGCAACAGAUACAACCUAAAAAAAUCAAAAUAUUUAGAGCUCAGACGGCACUUGCUAUCGCCAAGUUAUUGGACGGUAGUAAUGGACCCAUCCAUUACUUGUGAGUUAACUUCAUCGCUCCAUCACGAGUGCACCAGCCGGGAAUCGAAUCCGGGUCUAUACCCUGGUAGGGUCUUACUCUACCACUAGACCACUGGUGCAUGUUAUGCCGUUUUGUACUACUAAAAUAUUGUAGUACUUAGACAGCUAUGUUCAAAUGGAGGAGUCAUAGAACACAACAAAAGUUGAGUCAACUGGUUGAUUUUAUCUGAUCAUUAGAUGACUGAUUACUUGCACCCUAAAAAAAACAAAAAAAAAUUAAUGCCAAUUUCUUCAUCAUUCGAAGAUAUAUUAAAAAUUAUUUUUUGGAAUUUCUUGUCCUGCCGGACUGGCUACCUAGCCAGCUUUCUUAGUCAAUAGUCUCAUCCUACUAUUAUUAUUUGAAAUUAAUACUCUCAUAUUAAAACAACUAAAAGUCUAAAAUGAAUAAACAAACAAGAAGAAGCUGGCAAGAUGCAACGAGUUUCAUAAAGGUACUUUAUAAAUGAAAUACAUAGCUGGAUUUUUCUGUAGAGCCAGAUCUUCACUGAUCCUCAAAGCAUCAUUUUCUUUCCCCAAUAAUUAUUGGCUAUAAUUUAAUUUAUUUCCCUUAAACCAACAAAUUUUGUUUAUCUUUAACUACUAAAACAACUUUUUUGGCCUAAUUAUACAUCAUCUUUUUCCUAUAUAUCCUUAUCAACCCACUACAAUAAUAUUAUUAAUAUUAUUUUCUGAUUUCAAAAGAUUCGAUAUCCAACUUCUAUUAUACUUUUUUCCAUAGACGUGCAUAGUCGUACUUUCUUGUACAUCUCAACUUCAAUAAUUUCUAUACGUUUGGAUUUGUUCUGAUCUUGGUAAUGAGCAUGACCAUGGGAACAAAAACGUGGCAUCUAGCACUAGUAAUAGUGUUGAUGAUGAUAUUGAACUUGUCAACUAUAAGCAGGGUUGAUGGAGAGCAACAAGUGCCAUGUUACUUCAUUUUGGGAGAUUCAUUACUCGAUAAUGGCAAUAACAAUGCCCUCCAAUCCAAGGUUAAGGCCAAUUAUCUGCCGUAUGGGAUUGACUUUCCGGCAGGGCCAACGGGGAGGUUUUCGAAUGGUCGAAACAUUGCUGAUAUCACAGGUCUUCUUCUUUCUUUCUCUUUUGUUCCAUAAAUGAAAUCUAAUAACUGAUGUUUCAUCAUGUUCUAAUAAUUAGUGUACAAAUUAAAAGCGCGCGCGCGCGCACACACACGCACACACACGCACACAUAUGAUGUUGGGGUCAUCUUGUUUUUGCAGCUGAACUUCUAGGGUUUGUUGAGUACAUUCCAUCUUUCGCAACUGCCAGAGGUCGAGAAAUUCUGAAAGGUGUAAAUUACGCAUCUGGAGGAGCUGGAAUUGGGGAUGAAACGGGACAAAACCUGGUAAGCACUAUGACAUUAUUAACAAAUACAAUUACGUUAAUAUGUGAGUAUAUUUAUAUCUGAAUUAGAUAAUAUGGCCAUCUUAUCUAAAAGUUUAUUUGCAUAUGCAUGUAUCUAUAUAUAUAGCUUACAUAAAAGGAAAAUAAUUAUUCAUUAUAUAUUAAUUAUUAACUUCUUCCAUAAUUUGAUUUCAUAUUAAUUAUAUAUGAUACUUUUAAGUAUAUACAUGUCAUUAAUGAUAAUGAUACUUGUCAUAUAUGCAUGAUAUAAUUGCCUUGGUUUGGCUUAUGGAUGGCGUUGAUUGAGAAAUAUUUUUUAUUAGGAUUUAGUGAAUAUUGGCUAUACAUGGUACGAUUAAGUUAAGCGUUGAGAUUAUUUUGGUUAUCGAGAGCCUUCACAAAGGAAAAAAAAAACGAAAAAAAGAAAAAGAACAAAAGAAUGUGACUUCCAUGUGUAAUAAAUACAUAUUUAAUUGGAUUUAUAUCUUUCUUUAAUGUAGUUGUUAGUUAUUAAAAGUAUGUCUUAUCCUAUUCCAAAAAAAAAAAAGUAUGUCUUAUCAUUAUAACAAAUGAAUUAGGAUUUGUGUUCAACUAAUUUUGCGUAAUUAGUUCAAAUCAAUAUUUAUUUUCAUUUCUGAUUCCUAACAGCCAUUGAUUCAGUAUUCAAAAGGUAAUUAAUAAGUUAAUUUUUUGUAUGCAUACGAUACAUGCAGGAAUUCAGUAACUUGAGUGCCUGGGUAAAAGAAAUAUUAUAAGUAUGAAGUACAUUACGAUUACUAAUAUGCUCGUCAAAUGUACUUAUUUAUAAUUUUUUUUUGAAAAAAAAAAAUUCUGGCAGGGCACUGUAAUUAGCUUCAGUAAGCGAUUACUUAAUCACAAAACAACAGUCUCUCGCAUAGUAAGCCUACUGGGCGAUGAGAAAUCAACUGAAAAGAACUUGAGCAAAUGCAUUUAUACAGUGGGAAUUGGCAGCAACGAUUACAUUAACAACUACUUGAUGCCUCAAUUUUACCCUACAAGUCGCCUCCACAUGCCAGACCAAUAUGCCGCACUUCUCAUUGAACAAUAUUCUCAGCAAUUAAAGGUUACUAUCUCGGUUGUCCUAUAUAUAUAUAUCUGUGUGUGUGUCGUGUGUGUCUAUAUACACACACAUAGAGUUUUUCUGUAGUGUGGACGCUCUCAUUUUUUUUUCAUGCAGCCAUGUGGUUUAAUAAAGUUAAUUUUCAAUACUAUUCAACUACAUGGUUUUUAUAGCGUAUUAAAAAUUAACUCUAUUAAACCGCACAACUUAACAGCGUGUCUGCAUUAUAAAAAAAAAAAAGGGCGUUCUCUAUUCUUCCUUUCCUUUCAGAUUGAUAAGUCAUUUAAGCGAAAAAGUUCAGGCUAAACAUCUAAUUGGUCUGAGAUUUUAGCAAAGACUAUCAAAAUCAUCCAUAUCAUUACUUUCGAUACUUAAAAGUUAUUUGUUUAUAUUACUACUGCCAUUAGGAUCUGCCAGUGUAUUGUUUGAAUUUCAAAAUUAUACUGGAGCAAAAAAAUCCUAAAAAAUUAAAAUAAUUUUGAUGGUGUUUUAAAUACUUAAAUACUAUUAUUUGGAUCCUUACCUCCAAUCUUGAAAUUUUCUAUCUAGUAAUUUCUCAACAGAUAUUUCACUUCAGAUUUUCGUACAUUGGAAUUUGCAUGAUUUCUUUUCAAAACUUCUGGUUCUUUCUUUGUGUGCUAGACUUUGUACAGCUAUGGAGCAAGGAAGGUAGCCCUAUUCGGAAUAGGUCCAAUUGGUCGUACACCCGGCAACAUUGCUACAUAUGACACCAAUGGUUCUUUAUGUGUAGACUUCAUAAACAAGGCAGUUCAAGAAUUCAACACACGGCUUAAAACCCUGGUCGAUAACCUAAAUCACAAUCUCCAGGAUGCCAAAUUUAUCUAUGUAAACGUUUAUGGAAUCUCUUCAGGUCCAUUAGCUGGCUUACAGGGACCAAAUCCCUGCUGCUCGGUUGCCAAUAUAGCAAAUAAUGGCGGUAUUUUGACAUGUAUCCCUUUCGGCCCUCCAUGUCCUGUAAGAGCUCUAGAAGUUUUCUAUGAUGCAACUCAUCCGACUGAGGCUGCCAACUUGGUUGUUGCCGGAAGAUCAUACGUUUCCCUACUUCCAUCUGAUACUCAUUUCAUUGAUAUUCGUCAACUAGCUCGGCUUUGAUGUUUAAAAUUUCAAAUAACACUGAUGAUAUGUUUAUAGGAAUUAAUACAAAGUUUAUGUCUCAAUUAAUGUGAGAGAUGAUGUGACACUAUCUCAUAGCACCAAUGUAAACUUUGUUAUUACAUCUUAUUACUUCUGAUGCAAGCGGUGAAUUAAAUAAAUUCAAUGUAUAUUGGAGUAGAGCUGCGUACAUGCAUAUAUCCCUACUCUUUAAAUAAUGUUAUCUAUAAAAACAAAUGUUGGGAUGAAUGAUAGUAUUUAUCAUAUGAGAAAAACAUCAGUUGACCAUUUUUUUUUUUGAGAGAAAGUAAUACUUUCAUUCAUUCAACUCUGUGAAUAGAUACAAAAAUUGGGUUGGUAUAUCAUCCACCCUAAAAGACAAAAUCAUUGAGCUCUAAAGCUAGUUUUGCAUGUGAGUGAGCCGCACUAUUACAUUUUCUUGGAGUAUAUUGCAUUUUCACUUGCUUUAAUCUUUUGAUCCGAUCCUGAACUUCAGCUACAACCUAAAAAAUCUCAGUUCUUAUGCUUUUUUUGCAUGAGAUUAAGUUCACAACUUCUUGCAAAUUAGAUUCCAUAAUCACCGGAAUGCAUCCUGCAUGCUCUGCUAUCUCCAACCUGAACUGAGAUGCUUCAACUUCUGCAUAAUCCACUUUAUCCAAAAAUUUUGUAGUAUUCAUAAUUGCUGCUACAACUUUGCAAUUCCCAAUCCAGUUCUUUGCUGAUCAGUCUUCACUACGGCAUGUACAUUACCCUUGAACUAGCCUGCUGGUGGAGGAUUCCAACACUUCUGGACAACAUUGUCAUAUCUUGAACUUUCUUGCGUGUGUGGCAUUUGAAGUUUUCUGUAAGCUUGCACAACUGCUUCUGCUACCGCAACUCAUGAUUGGGAAUCUUCUCUUUUGCUUUUAAAAAUGAGAAGAUUCCUUAAUUGCCAAAUGCUCCAGCACAAUCAUUUCAGCCUUGUUCCUUUUUCCCGUCAUAGCUUAAAAUAAGCUAAAAACAUCCAUGUUCUUACAAAGCCUGAUAUCCUCUUCGAAACAUGUCAGCUGCCAUAUUUUUUUAGAGGCUUUACACUCGAAUAGAGUAUGAAAAAUAGACUUUUCCGUUCUAUUACACCUCUGACACCAAGGGAAUUGCACAACUUUCCUCUUCCAUAGGUUCUCUAUAGUUGGCAGUAAGUUAUUAGCUGCUCUCCACAUAAAGAUCUUGACUUUUUUUAGUAUUUGAAGAUACUAGAUAGAGUUCCAUGAGUUUUGCUUCUCCUCUGAGCAGCUUGGCUUGUUUGGGAAUUUCAUCUUUAAAGCCAAUUGAUAACCGCUCUUCACCGAGUACUCACCCUUCUUGUCAUAGUGCCACAACACUUGAUCCGGGUUUAGCUGCCUUAGGAGAGGGAUUUUUGUAAUAUGUUAUGCAUCAUCUCUCAAAAAAUGCUGCUAAAUCAGCACCUCAUUCCAUUCACGCUCUUCAUUUAUGAGCUCCGAAACAGUUGUCUUUAAAUGUAGCUUCAGGGGAGGGGGGUAUCAGCUUGAAAGUGUAAGGUCUUGGAAGCCAUAUGCUAUGAUACACUUGCACUUGUUCACCAUUUCCAAUUCUCCACCUCAAUCCUUUCUCAACAACGUCUCUUCCCCAAAGAAUACUCCUCCAUAUGAAAGAGGGGUAAGAGCCUAUUUUUGCCUUCAUGAAACUUGAGUGUUUAAAAUAUCUAGCCUUCAUUACUUUCGCUACUAGGGAAUCAGGCACUUGAAUAAUCCUCCAACCUUUUUUUGCUACUAGGGUUUGAUUGAAACUAGACAAAUCUCGAAAUCCCAUUCCACCUUUACUCUUAGCUUGACACAUUCUCUCCCAUCUUGGCCAAUGAAUUAGUCUAUGAUCUUUGCUAUUUCCUCACCAAAACCGAGCAAUAGCUUUUUGCAUAUCUUUACAGAGCCCUAAUGGGUGCUUAAACACACUCAUAACAUAUGCCGGCACUGCUUGGGCAACUGCUUUUAUCAAAAUUUCUUUUCCACCACAUGAAAAAAGUUUUGCUUGCCAGUUGGAUAUCUUGCUGAGAAUUCUAAGCUUGAUAUCGUUGAAAAAGUUGAUCUUGUUUCUUCUAACCAUAGAGGGCAGCCCAAGGUAUUUCUCAUGUUGGGAGACCACUUGCAACUAGAAAAUGUUCUUUAUCACAAAGAUCAGCUCCUGCUUUGUGUUUUGACUAAAGAACAUGGAUGACUUUUUGUAAUUAAAACUUUGGCCUAAAGCAGUAGUAUAACAAUAAAAAAAUCCUUUCAAGCUGAAGCAAUCUUCUUUUGUAGCUCUUACGAAAAUCAAGCUGUCAUCUGCAAAUAAUAGGUGAAUGAUAAACAACUCAUUGCCGAAUUUGAUUCCAUGAAUAUGCUUGUGUAAUUCAAAUUGUCUAAGGAGAUUAGUAAAAGCCUCUGCACAAAGAAUAGAAAGAUAUGAAGACAAAGGGCAUCCUUGCUUUAGCCCUCUUUGCAACUUAAUCAAACCUUUAGCUACCCUAUUUAUCAACACCGAGAGGAUGGUGUGGUUAUACACCUCAUAAUCAGCCCCACAAAUUUUGAGGAGAACCCCAUUUUUGCUAGUGUACAUUUCAAGAAGUUCCAUUCCACCAUAUCAUAUGCUUUGCCAAUAUCUAAUUUUAAAGCUACUGGCCAAUGCUUCUUCCCUUUACUUAGCCUUAUUUUAUAAAGACAUUCAUAACUGAUAAUUAUGUUGUCGGUUAUAAGUCUAUUAGGAACAAAGGCGCUUUGAGUUAGGGAGAUAACAUGAUUCAAAAUUAGUUUCAACCUAUUUGCCAUAGUUUUUGCAAUAAUUAUAUAAAUAACAUUUCAAAGGCUAAUAGGUCUAUAAUUCCCCACUUUCCUAGGCAUGUCAACCUUCGAAAUUAAAGCAAUAUGUGUGAUUCAGGGGGGUGAUAUUACCUCCAUCAUUAAGAACAUGUAGGCAAGUAGCUAUGACUCCUUGGCUCACAGACUUCCAAUGCUUUUGAAAGAAGGCUGCUGGAAGACCAUCUGGACCGGGGGCUUUUAUUGGAUGCAUUUGACUUAAAGCUUCUGUGAUAUCUGUUUCUGUGUAGGGCUGAUUGAGUUGUGCAUUCAUCUCACUUGAAAUUUUACAAGGCAUGUCUUUAAGUGCUGACUCCAUCUGGUGCUUCGUUGGAUUAUUAGAGGUAAACAAAUUGUCAAAAUACUUACAAAAUAUCUUCUCAAUUUCAUCAGCUUCUUCUAUCAAUUGGUUGUUUUCAUCAACAAUUCCUCUAAUCAUUUUUUUCCUCUUUCUCGAAGUAGCCUUGCAGUGGAAAAACUUUAUAUUUAUGUCUCCUUCCCGUAACCACACAGCCUUUGACCUCUGUCUCCAAUAAAUUUCUUCAUCAAUAAGCAAGUCAUCAAUUUGUUUCUUUAUUGCCUUAAUUUCAACUCCGCUGACAUAUUGGUUACUGCUCUCUCUGUGAGCUUUCAACUUUUUUAACAGCUUCUUCAAUUUUUUUUCUCUGACCCGAAAUUCCUCUUUGCUUCACAAUUGUAACUCGGCUAGUGAAUCUUUUGCUGUAUUUUUAAAUUGAGUAAUCAGAUCUUCAAAGUUCCAGUUGCUCUUCGCUUCCACUCAUCAUGGACAAUCUCUUGACAUUUCUCAUAAGGGCUCCACAUAUCUUCACAAUGGACCCUUGAGAAAGUUCUUUUGAUGUACCUUUUACUUCUGCCCAUUUCUUCCACAAUCAUUAGAAUUAGACUAUGAUCAGACGUGCACGUCUCGAGAUGUUAUACUGCUGUUUCAUGAAACAUACUUCCCUAAGCUUUGCAACAUAGAAACCUAUCUAACCUCUCUUCUACCAAAUGGGGACCAAACCUCCUGUUAGACCAUGUAAAUGGAUAGCCUUUGCAGCCUAAUUCUUUUAAACCACAGACAUUAACAGCUUCACGGAAUUCAUUUAUACUAGACACACGCCUAUCAUUCUUCCUAGUCUUCUCAUCCAGCUUUAAGAUCUCAUUAAAGUCUCCUAAACAAAGCCAUAGUAAAGAGAAUAAUUUGGCUAAUCUUCGCAAUAAAGUCCAUGUAUGUUGUUUCUGGUCUGUUUCAGGAUGCCCAUAAAUCCUCGUACACCUCCACAGGCUGCCAUUUUCAGAGUGAACUACUGUAUCUAUAUGGUGCUGGCUAAAAGAUUUUAUAUUCACCACUACUUCUGAUUUCCACAACAAUGUUAAACCACUGCUUCUACCUCUACUACUAAUAGCAAAGCAAUUCUCAAAGUUUAGCUUUUUACAUUUACCAUGCAUUUGCCCGGUCCUCAUUUUAGUUUCGUACAAAAACAUAACCUCAGGCCUAUGCAUUUGGAGAAUCUUUUGGGUUUCACGGAACGCUCAGUCAUUCCCCAAACCCCAAACGUUCCAGCUUAAAGCUCUCAUAACUGUCGGCGGGACUGGCAACCAGCCUCCGCCGUUAAUUCUUCCUUCUUUGUUGCUGCUGUCAUCUCCACAUCUUUAUCUUGUUUUAUUUCCCUCCCGAUUUUACUCUUUGUUGUUGAGGAGCAAAAGUUAAUAUGUCUUGGACUGCACAUUCUUCUUCUUUUUUCAUCUGGACUUCCCCCACAAUUGUCUUCCUUAGGCCUAUUUAAGCUCUUUGGCCCAUUGUCUGGACCCAUUUUUCUUUCUAUUGUCCGUGCUUGGAGCUUCUAUUUCCAUUUCCUUAUCUUAGAGUGUGCUUCAUCCAGCUCUUCACUUUCCCCACAUUUUGUUUCAAGAUGGGCUUGUGCUGUUUUUUUUUUUUUCUAAUUGGGCCACCCUAUCAUUUGGGUUAUGUUCAAUUUUGUUUUCUUCCUUCUCAUUUUUUUCUUUGUCCAAUUCCCAUCUCAUAUUCCCUCUCAUUUGUGCAUGUUCUUCUUACCUCAAUUCUCUAUUUUUGAGGUAUUAUGCAAUCCCAACUAACUGCAUCAGCUUUUGACAAUAUUUUUCUGACCAUUUUGGUUUUCCCGUCUCUUCCAUCCUUGGCCCACCCGUAUUCAAAUCCUCUUGAAUCCGAGUUAACUCGGCUUCGUUUUCUGAAUCACUGUUGCUGUCUCUUGCUCAACUCUACUUUAAUUCUGGGUUGGCCUCAACUCUUGUUUGUAUUGAAUCCUCAUUACUUUGUUUAUUGGCUUCUUUCUUCCACCUUUCCCUUCCUCUGUUCAAUCUCAACUUUUCUGCCAUUGUAAUCGCUCUCAGCCAUGGCCCAUAAGCCAUUUCUUUUCUAGCUUGAUUUUUGUAUUGAGCACAUUCCCUGUAUUGAUGCCCAAUACAACCACAUAUAAAAUAGCACUAGCAUGGGAAUGACUUUCUUUUUGGUAUUUUCGUUGCGUCCUUCUUCUGUUUCUGUACUUUCUUCUUCCGUGUUCUCUUCUUCUGCAGCAUCCUCAUCUUUUAAUUCUACCACCUUCAUCAGUGGUUUAGUCACAUCAAUCAAAAUUUUGAGUAUAAUAAACUUGCCAAAACAUUCUCUAGCAGCAUUAGUCCCCACUUCCUCCACCUUUCCGAUUUCUUCACCAAUCUCUUUCAUUGUUUCUUCAUUCAUACACAUGAUAAGAACAUUGUGUAUUUGGAUCCAAAAAGAUACAUGAGUAAAGGACUGUUUGGUUACUUCCCCAAUACCACUUGGUUCAACUAGGACUGUGAGAGCUCUAUCAAAGUGCCAUGGCCCCCUUGCUAAAAUAUUCCUCUUAUCAGCAUUCGUUCCAAAUCUGAAUAUGAAGAUGUUGUCUCCCAUUUCUUCGAUUUGAACUUCUCUUAUGGUUCUCCACACUUGCUGCAAGGCAGCUUUCAACCCCACAAUUUUUACUUCUCUGUUCACCAGGACCUUUCCAACUAAGCAUCCAUCUACAAUCUUCUUUCCUGCUACCUUCAUUUUACUUUUCAAAGAUACUCUUCCUCUUUUAUCUCCACUCAAAGAUAUUUCCUAGCAUUUGCGAAUCAGCUCUUCAGCAUCCAUCUUAAAAGACUGCUUAUUUACUAUCGAAACUAAUAAUGAAACCAAGCCAAAAGAACAGCUUGGAGAAAGAAAAGUAGAGAAACCAGAUGAAAAAGCACCCAACCUAUGUAGGUGAUAAUACUAGCCUCCAAAGGCUCACUUUUCAACUCUCAUUCUUUUUCUCAGAGAGAGAAAAGAAGGGAGACGGUGUGAGAUAAUUAAAGUAAGCGAAAUGUUACAAUUCGGGUAACUUUACUUGACCAUUUAAUGCUCCUACUUAUUGAUUUACAUAAAGAUGAUAUUUAAACAGUAUCCCAGCCAAUCUAUAUAAUAGAUUAUAGGGGUGGGCAUUCCGGUUUUCGGUUCGGUAUUUUUAGUUUUUGGUUCGGUUUGCAACCCGUUUGGGUUUAAGAAUUCAACCAAAUGGGUUGAAAAAUUAUCUCGGUUAAGUUCGGUUUGAUUUCAAUUUCAGUUCGGUUUCGGUUCGGUUUGUAAUUCGGUUCGGUUUCGGGUUGUUAAUUUCGGCUCCCAAAGGCAGGUUCUUACGUGUUACUCACCCAUCCGCCACUGGAAACACCACUUCCGUCCGACUUGCAUGUGUUAAGCAUGCCGCCAGCGUUCGGAAGAUUAGCUAGAACAGCGGGUCGAUUAAUAAUUUGGUUUUUGUAGAGCUUCCGUGAUGUAUUAAGCAGAACAAUUACUUGAAUUUUAUCUGCAUUCUAACCCAAAAAGAAAAGCUUAUUAGAAAAAUACAAAAACUAAUAUCCAUCAUGAUAGAUGACAGAGAAAGCAUUAUUAAAAUCAUGAGCUGAUAAAAAAAUAAAAUAAAAUGAAAAAGUGUUCAUAUCACCCAAAUAAGGGAAGUUAUUUCUUACCCCUGCAGAAAAGAUCGCAGGGGCAGAUUUAUUUUUCAAACAAAAGUGUGCACAUGAUAAAACUCUAGUGUCUUCUUCAUCAGCUUCACCCACAAGCUUGAUACUCGAAAGCUAUGCGUCAAAGACCAAAUCUUUACCACGAAAAAGGACAGAUAGAGGUAUUCCUGCAGAGACUUGGCUUAACGAUUCAAUCACAUAAGCAAUUUGUGGCUCUUUGAGCUUGGUGGCAACUGAUUAAAUGGCAUGCGUAUACUUUUCUCUGCGUUUGAGAGACAAUAUCAAUGACACCCACGUGAUUAAAUAUUUGAGGAGAGUGAGGCUGUGCUCAAUGCGGGUUCCACCUUCUAAUAAAGUUGCAAAGUUCUAAUAUAUAUGUUGCUCCACUUUAUUUAAAGCAUUUGUUUUGCAACAUGUGUGCUUUAUGUGCAGGACUAAUAAAAAAAAAUUAUGGUGAAAUUAGAAUCUUGACUUUCCAUUCUAUUAGCUUGAUAAGACUUAGUUCAUAUGUUCUAUUUGCUAGUUAUUAAGUUAAACGAAUUAAGAAAGAAACAAUCAUUUAUCGACAUAGAGACGUCAUGAAGGUGUACUCUUCUGCUCUGCCCAUACAUUUUUAUGUGCUUCUUUUUUCUUUCCUUAGUCCAUCCAAAGCCUCUUAUGUCUGCAUUGUUAUACGUGUUGGAUUUCUCAUGACUUAUUUUCUACUGACGGGAAUCAUUUCCUCAUUUAGCCAUUGCUCCAAAUGCUGGCAUUGCUACAUGAUUCAAAUUGGUCCUCAAUUAUUGUUCUUCUAUUUGAUCAUAUAUUGAUUCAAAGCCUAUGCCGUGUAGAUUCAAUUAAACCCAUUUAGGCGCCCAGCGGUGGUGUAAAACAAUAUGCAUAUGCUUACCCAUAUGCAUAUUCCUGAAAAUUGUUUGCUCAUCCUCCAAGCUUACAUGUCAAUCCCUUGAAUCUAAGGGAGUAUGUGAUUUGAGCAAUAACCUUGAGAAUGAAGCAACUGUUCCAUGCUCAUUGUUUGCAUUCAUCACUGUAAUAUAGUUUCCGAGAAGGAAGUGAAGAAUUUGAAAAAAAAUAAUAAAGCUCUUGCUGGGAAAGUCAAGUUCACAAGAAUCAUCUUUGAAGAUACAGAUUGUUAAUUUUUCAUUUUACUUUCAAGCUUCUUAUUUUUCUUUUUAUUUUUAUUUUUUUCACUUUCAAAUCUAUGGAAACUGACCUAGGUUUUCUAACUGAUGGACCAGAUUUAAUGCAAGUGCAUAAAUCUUCUGAAGGUAGUAAUUACUUGCCAAAAUUAGAAUCCAAUUCCUGCUAGUGACUCCAAAUAUAGCAUAUUUGCUUCUGCAUAACUAAUAUUGCACUGAUGACUAUUAUCCAUUGCUCAAGUCUCAUAUUUUGUUAGGCUUCUUUAGCAGAUCUUGGUUAUAGUACUUAUGAUAAGCUUUAUACAAAAUGACUGUUCAGAUAUAGCAUAUUGAUAUACCAGAUACUGAUUUAAUAAUUUAAUGACUAAUUUUUUUCUCAUUUUUAUAGUAAAUUCUUUUUUCGGAUGAAGAUGAUGAUAGAAUGGAGAAGAUGAGGUUGAGGCAAAGGUUUUAGGGAAUCAAGAAAGAAGUUUCAGAGGAUGAAGAAGAUGUGUCGGAGGAUGCCUGAAAAAGUUUCAAGACACAAGAUCAUUUUGUAUAUACAUUUGGGAUUUUUUUUUUUGGGUGGGGAAUAUACUAUUAAAAUUGAUAUUUUGUUAUAGUUUUAUUGGUGGAUGUGAUUUCUAUGAUUUUAUUUUUAAAUUAAUAAAGCUAUAUUUAAUACAUUUUGUGUAUUAUUAUUACUAUAUUUUGUUGAUUGUGUUGCAUUAAUAAUACAUAUACUUCACUCUCGUGGAAUGCAUGAUCUUCACUUCCAUGGGCCGCAGUUUACGUGGUCAAGAGGUACUCCCUUCAAACGCUUGGAUAGAGUUAUUUGUAAUAAUGAUUGGGUUAAGUGUUUUGCAGAUUACACUGUCCUUCAUUUACCAAAAUUAUCUUCGGACCAUCGUCUUAUUCUGGUUAAGUGUGAAACUCGUGCUUCUAAUGUCUCCCAUGACCGUCCUUUUCAGCUGCGUGGCUUACGGAUAAUAAGUUUAGUCAGUUUGGUACUGAAGCAUGGAAUAAGGAGCUUACUUACAAUGAUGCUGCCAAAAGCUUCACGCUCAGUGCCUUGGAGUGGAAUAGGCUCGUGUUUGGAAAUAUUUUUUGGAGGAAGAAAAGGUUGUUGGCUAGGUUGGGAGGUAUUCAGCGGGCCUUAGAGGAUUACUAUUCCCACGGGCUGAUUGAUCUUGAAAAACAGCUUAGAGCUGAGCUGGAGGAGGUUUUGAGUCAGGAAGAAAUUAUUUGGCUUCAAAAAUCUCGCCAAGACUGGUUGUGUCUUGGGGACCGAAAUACCACAAAAUUUCAUCAAAAAACUGCGUCCAGAAGGCGUCGUAACAACAUUGCUGCUGUUCAAGAUGACUCGGGAGGUUGGAUCUAUGAAAAGGAGAAUAUUAAGGAAUACGCUAUUCGGUACUUCUCCUCACUCUGCAAUUGCGAGCAUCGGGAUUUUCGGCCGUACCCUCAUCUGAGUUGCUUCCCUGUUAUUGAGGAUGCCUUACUUUUAAUGCUUCGGAAUCCAGUUGAAGACAAGGAAAUAAAAAACAUUGUCUUUGGCAUGCUCCUCUGAAAGCCCCCGAUCCCGAUGGUUUCCACGCCAUUUUUUAUCACACUCAAUGGGCUACGGUUGGUCCCUCAUUCGGUAAGCUGGUUCAGGAUGUCUUCAAGAAUAAAUGUAUUACUGGUGAUUUGAAUUCCACUCUUUUGGUACUUAUUCCGAAGGUUGAGAACCCCAUUUCUUUGAAGAUGUAUCGCCCUAUUUCCCUGUGCAAUGUGGCUUACAAAACCAUUACUAAAGUCAUUGCUAAUAGACUCCAGACGAUUUUACCUCAGUUGAUUGGUUCUCAUCAAACUAGUUUUGUUCCGGGAAGGCAUAUGAUUGAAAACAUAGUGAUAGCUCAAGAGGUGGUGCAUUCUAUGCGUAGAAAGUUUGGCAAUAGAGGUUUUAUGGCCAUAAAUGUUGACUUAGAGAAGGCCUAUGAUAGACUUUAUUGGGAUUUUAUCAAUGAAACUCUUUGUGAAGCUCGUUUUCCGCCGGACCUUAUUCAAGUGAUUAUGGCUUGUAUAACGUCUGCCUCUAUGCGGGUUCUCUGGAAUGGGGAAAAUACAGAGUCUUUUAAACCUUCUAGAGGGGUCCGUCAGGGAGAUCCGUUAUCCCCUUAUCUCUUUGUGCUUUGUAUUGAAAGACUCAAUUAUGGGAUCCUUAAUGCUGUUGGCGCGGGGAAAUGGCGUCCUAUCACUCUGUCUCGAAAUGGUGUCCCUUUGUCCCACCUCUUUUUUGCUGACGAUCUUCUUUUGUUCGCUGAAGCCUCUGUUGAGCAGGCUGGUGUUAUUUCGUCUGUGUUGGACUCCUUUUAUUACAGUUCUGGUUCGAAGGUUAAUAAGUCCAAAACAUUAAUACAUUUUUCCAAGAAUGUAGGUGAUAGCGAGGCUAAUGCUAUUUCGGGGAUGCUUGGUUAUUUGGUUUCUAACGACUUUGGCAAGUAUCUGGGAGUUCCUCUGCAUCAUUCUAGAGUUUCCAGUGGUAUGUAUCAGGAGAUUAUUGAAAAGGUUGAGAGGAGGCUUUCGGGAUGGACGACCUCUCACUUAUCUCUGGCAGGUCGUAUUACGUUAGCUCAGUCAAUCCUUCAAGCUAUCCCCAUCUAUAUGAUGCAAACAGUUAAGCUCCCCAGUGGAGUGCGUGACAGAAUUGACAGAGCUUGUGGAGGUUUUAUCUGGAGUGGUGUCUCUCCACAGCAGAAGCUCGGUAUGGUGAGUUGGCGGAAUGUUUGCAAGCCCAAAUCUAUUGGUGGCCUUGGUUUUAAAUCUUUAUCUAUGAUGAAUAAGGCGUUGCAUAUGAAACUUGCUUGGGGCUUCAUUUCCUCUCCCGAGAGUCUUUGGGUUACAGUCCUGAGAACAAAGUAUGGGGUUGCUAAUGACACCCUUCUCGAAACUUUGCACACUCGCUAUGGUUCUCAUAUUUGGAAGUCUAUUGGCACAGUUUGGAGUGAAGUUCUUGCUAGUCGAAGGUGGUGUUUAGGCAAUGGUAAUUCUGUUCGAUUUUGGUAGGACCUUUGGGUUACGAAAGAUCUGCCGUUGGCGGCCUAUGCCAUGGAUACUAUUCCUGUUCAUAUCCUUGAUUGUAAGGUGUCGAUUUUUAUAAAGAAUGAUGGUUCUUGGUGGUGGGAUCAGUUCGAGCAUUUACUUCCCAAUAAUAUCAUUCUUCAGAUUACGGCUGUGCUUCCUCCUUCUCCCAUGCAUGGUACGGACACUUGUUUUUGGGCUCACUCUAGAACGGGGCUGUUCACUACUAAAUCGGCUUAUUUGAUGCUCGCUGGAUCAAGUUCGAUUAUUGAGGAUUACCGCUGAAGGUCUGUUUGGAGGUGGAAAGGUCCCUAAAGUGUUCGUAUCUUUCUUUGGCUAGCUUUACAGGACCGUUUGAAGACCAAAACUGAAUUGGCUUGGCGUCAUAUUCACAUUUCAGAGGCUUGUGAUCGUUGUGGAGCUUCAGUCGAGGAUACUCUCCAUGUUCUCCGUGAUUGUAUGGCCGCCAGGACUUUUUGGCUCAAAAUUGUCCCUUUGGAGAAGCGGCAAUCUUUCUUUAACUCCAAUCUCUCGACUUGGUUAUGUGGGAAUGUGGAGGACGUGAGUAGAAGUCAGAAUAUCUCCAACUGGUCGGUUUUCUUUGGUAUUGGAGUUUGGAGGAUUUGGUUCUGGCGGAACCAAUUUGUUUUUAACAAGACUUCUAUGGACCCUCUGGCUUUCUUAGUGGAUGUUUCCCUGCGUGCUGAGGAGAUGAGCAAGAUUCACAACCAUUGUUUGGUCACGGGAAGGUUAAAGAUUGAUAAGUGGAUUCGGUGGCACCCUCCCGAUUGGCCUUGGUGUACUUUGAAUACUGAUGGGGCUCAUAAGGCCAAUGGUGUUUCUACUGCUGGUGGUUUGAUUCGCGAUUAUUCGGGUCGUUGGUUGACUGGUUUUGGGUUGAUGCUUGGUUCUUGUUCUGUUACAAUGGCUGAGCUUAGAGGCAUUUAUCAGGGGCUUAUCCUGGCUUGGAAUUUUGGCAUUCGGUGGCUACAUGUGGAAACUGAUAGCUUAUGUGCAACUCAAAUGUUGGCUAACCAGGUGGUGACUACUAAUGAAUAUGCGUCCCUCAUUUUUGCUAUCAAGGAGUAUCUCCAGAAAAAGGAUUGGCAGGUUUCUAUUUCUCAUGUGUACAGAGAGGCAAACUCGGCUGCUGAUUUUAUGGCAAACCUUGCUUGUUCUUUGCCUCUUGGGCUUAUGGUGUACCCUAGUCCCCUGCUGGGGGUUUCAUCCAUUCUUCUGUAUGAUUCUUACGGGGUUGCGACUCCUCGUUCGAUUGUUUUUUAGCUCUUAAUUGAGCCCCAGUUGAUAAAAAAAUAAUAAUACAUAUACUUUAUUAAAAAAAAUUAUUAAAUAAAUUAAAUAGUCGUUGAAGAAAAAUAGAAGCAUAUUUCUGACACGUGUCUUGCAUUUUCAAGGGUAAAUUACGGGUGGAAUAGUAAUCAUUUGGUUUAUCCAAUCUCGUUCCCGAGGACAAUUUGUGCAAUUUCCAAGAGCAAAUGCAAUUCGAAAUAUGUUAUUAUUUGGUUUCUUAGAGAUCAUUUUUAAGGACAAUUAAUGUCAUUUUCAACAGUUUUAUGGUUGAAAAUGGAUUUUUUAUUCGACAACUUAUCGAAAUUCUUUUUUCUAAUGUAACUUAAUAGGACGAUGGUUAAUGGUGUGACUUUCUGAUAAAUGAGUUUUUUUGAAGGUAUUUAUGUAUUUUCAAAGGUAUUUAUUCUUGGAAAUAAUCAUUUUUCUUGCAACAUCAAUAAAAUUCCAUAAAUAUGAUUGAAUAUAAUAGAAAAUAUGUAAAAGUGAGAAGGCCAAUAAUAAAAUUAUCCACACUACUAAAAAAGCGCUGAUCUAUGACAUAUUUUUUAUGACAGAUACAUAUAUGUCACGAUUGUAUUAUGAAAUAAUGACAUUUUCGUGAUACAUAAAAUAUAUCAUGCCUUAAUGAUGCAUUCGUGAUUGAUAGACAAGACGUAAACUGAUGAUGGAUAAAUGUCAUAGUUGAUUAAUUUAAAGUUUUAAAAAUUUAAAAUGGCAUGGCAUUUAAAUUGUUUUAUCUACAUAACACAAACUUGUGAUGGACUGUAGUGAAUUAUUUAAAAAAUAUUUAUUUUCAACAUGUAAUUUGUUUAUUUUUAAAAUUUUAAAUAUUACAAAUUUGUCAUUGUUAAUUAUUUAAAAAUAUUUCAUUAAUGUAUAACUUAAUUUAUUUACAAGGUUUCCAUUGUUAAGUAAUUGAAUAAUAAAAAAAAAAAGCUCAAUCGUUUGCUUUGGAAAGAAUGUUCCAACACUUAGCAAAUUUUGCUUUAGUGUUGGAACAAGUGAAUGCCCUUUGAAAUUGCAUUAUUUAAAUUAAAAAAAGAACAAAACGCCAUCAUUUUGCUUGGCUUUGGAACCGGUGAAAGCGUUUUUAAUUGAAUUAUUUAAAAUAAAAAGAAAAGAAAAACGCCAUCGUUUUGCUUUGGAAAUAUUGUUUUAACACUAAGCAAAUUUUGCUAAGUGUGCUACGAUUGCAGCCCCUUUUCUUUUUCGUUCUCCACCCUCUCAAGUGCACCCUCUCAAGUGCAGAAGAAGCAUCGCACUGCUACGCCCUAUGUUUCACUCAAUUGAUGAAAACCUAAUCACCCAACUGGAGAAAAUCAAUUGAACGAAGCACAUAACAACUACCAACCACCCAUUACGAAUUUACAAAAUCUCUCCAACUGCCAAGCCCUUUGCACUGACACUCAUUAGCCGUCACCCAACAGCCCCUUAUUCAAAACACCAACUGUUAUUAGAGAAGAAAGAGAAAAAGUAAGUGCAUCAAAAGCCUCACUCAAAUUUUUAAUUUGCAAUGUUAUAUCCCUAGCUAAUUUUAAGUGGUAAUGCAUGUGAUGGUUUUUAGAUGUGGGUGUCAUUCUAAUGGAACCUAAGUAAAUUUUAGCCGUGAAAAUAUAUAUAGAUCCAGUGGUUCCCUAAAUAAUUAUUCUUAAUGUUUGGGAGUGGUCCUGGUUCUUUAUCUAUUUUUCUUUUUUAUUUAUUUAAAUUUUUUAGGUUCUAAUACUUCUUAUGUACUUGUUACAGUUAAAGAUGUGGCCGUAAGGUUGAGGCCACUAUUAUCACAGAAGAAGCUUUUGGUUUCUGUUGCUGCAUGAGUGAAAUUAAAAUACCUUGAGGUUUGCAUCCUUUGACUCUAUGGGUGGUACUAUCUAUAUUUCUUUGGUCUUAAAGAAAAUGGUGCAAUUAUGUCAUAAUUAUGGUUAUGAUUAAUACCUAAAUUGCUAUGAGCUUUGAAGAUAGCUUGUUCAUUUUGGUGUUAUGAUGUAAUGCAAGUGCAUUCAAGUUCUUGUAUUUCAAAUUUAAAUGAUUUUAAGUGUUGCAUGUGAAAUUGUGGUUGUGAUUCUAAUUAUUUCUAAUUUACGUGUCUAAUUGGGAUGAUUUAAGUCAUUAAUUUAAUUGUUGUUUACUUGUUUUUGACUUUGUAAAGACCAUUUGUAAUCAUUAUGAAUAUUAUAUUGACUCCACAUGGAUUGUGCGUUAAGCCCUGAAUUGCAUGUGAUUCUAAUUUUGCAUGGAUUGUGUGUAAAGUUUCGGAUUGUCUUUAUGUGCAGUAGGCUUAGCAAAGGUUUAAAAAAUGUUGUCAUUUUGUGUAAUUUGAUGGUGUCAUAAAGAAAACAAUUGGUUGGUAUAUAUUGUUUACUACAAUAGUUUUGUUUGUGGUCUCGAGCAUAUAUUUUUUUUCCUACAGUUUGUGGACCUUGUUUGCUUAUUUGGUUUGUGGUCCUCGCUGUUUUUUCAAAUAGUCAAAAGCACAAUGAAGACCUUUAUGUGCUGCAUUUUUGACACACAUGGGUCCCCCAAAUUGUUUGAUACUUGUAUGUUUUCGAUUUUUGUAUUGUAAAGGUAAAAAAGAAAAAUAAUCAAUAUUGAGCUGGGCAAAAAGCAUUAAUGUUUAACUUCUUUCGAUUUAUAUAUUCUUCAGGUUAGAGACAAGUGGUUGUAAAAUACUUGGUAAAAAAAAGGCAUUUAAGUUGCAUAAUCAAGCAGGUAAAUAGAUAUAUGACUGCUUUUCUGGCCCUGUAUAAUGCUACUUUUUGGUUACUUGAGUACUAUAUGUCUAUUUUUUAUUCCAUUUCCCUUGCAUAACAUUGCUUAUUUCAUUAAACUAAUGAAAGUAAAGUCUAUUUUGUUUUUGUUUUUCUAUUAAAAUAUUAAAUUUGAUCAUAUGUAAUUAAAUACAUAACAUGAUCAGUAGCAUAUUUGGUUUUGUUAUACUGAUAUAAAUAAAAAUUUUAUACUGGCAUUUUAUUCUAUGAUAAUAAUGGGUGUUGAUAGGGGUUUUCUUUAUUUUAAUUCAAGUUAUUCAUAAAUUAUUGGCUGCUGCUUUUAUAGUAUUUGUCCUGGAACUUUGAAAAAGGAUAUGAUUUUGCAUGUAUUCUGUCAUUUUGUUUUUUUCUAAUAUUUUAUUACAUUUUUACUUUUGUAUCAAGAGCUGUUUUUGGUUUAUAAAAUGGAAAAGGCUUUGAUAACAUGUCAUAGAUUGUCUGCAGAAUAUAUUAUUGGUGUGGAUAUGUUCAUGGAUUUUGCAAUUGAAAAUUCUGAUAAUGGUGAUUUUAUAAGGUGUCCUUGCAUCAAAUGUAAAAACCUAGCAUUUUAUCAUUCUAGGACAGUUAGAGACCAUUUAUUUUUUAAGGGUUUUGAUGAGAGUUAUACUAUUUGGACUUGGCAUGGGGAAACCGAACCUGGUAUGACAAAAAUUUAUAUAGGUGAUCAAGUUGACCCACAAAACAUGUACCUUAAUCAGGGUGAGGCUGUAAACAUGAUUAAUGAUGCUUACAAGCAUUUUGAUGAUGAUCCUAAGGCCUUUAAAUCCUUAUUAGAAGAUGCCGAGAAACCUUUGUACCCGAGUUUGCAAAAAUAUACUAGGUUAGGUGCAUUGGUUAAGCUAUACAACUUGAAGGGAAAAUAUGGUUGGUCCGAUACUAGCUUUUCAGAUUUAUUGAGUCUCCUUGUUGACAUGUUACCAGAGAACAAUACAUUGCCUAGGUGUACAUAUGAGGCAAAAAAAGCUAUGUCUGCCUUGGGCUUGCAGUAUAAAAACAUACAUGCUUGCCCAAAUGAUUGCAUGCUAUAUAGAAAGGAAUAUGAGAACCUUUCUGAAUGUCCUACUUGUAGAGUAUCACGGUGGCAGAAAAAAAAUGGUUCUAAGGAAAAAUAUAGGAAAUGGGUUCCUGCAAAAGUUUUAUGGUAUUUCCCACUCAUUCCUAGAUUUAAGCGGCUGUUCCAAUCACCACAAACUGUCCAGGACUUAACUUGGCAUGCAAAUGAAAGAGAAGUUAAUGGCAAGCUUCGUCAUCCAGCUGACUCACCAGCUUGGAAGUUAGUGGAUGUAAAUGGCCUUCCGCAUCUGAAUCUAGAAAUCUUCGUCUUGCCCUUUUCAGCUGACAGAAUCAAUCCACAUAGCUCUCUAAGUAGUACAUACAAUUGCUGGCCAGUUGUCCUUAUAACUUAUAAUCUUCCUCCGUGGUUGUGUAUGAAAAGAAAAUUUAUGAUGUUGUCAUUAUUGAUUUCUAGACCACAACAACCAAGGAAUGACAUUGAUGUGUUCCUAGCACCAUUAAUUGAGGACUUGCAGAGUUGUAGUCUUUAUGGGCUAUUGGUGUUGAGGCAUAUGAUGCCUUUAGAAAAGAAUUCUUCAACUUGCGAGCUAUCUUAGUAUGGACGAUCAAUGACUUUCCAGCUUAUGGAAAUUUUUCUGGGUGUAUGACAAAAGGGUAUUAUGCUUGUCCAGCUUGUGGGGAAGACAUAACUCCUUGCAGAUUGUCACAUAGUAAGAAAAAUGCUUAUAUGGGCCAUAGGCGUUUUCUUCCUAAGAACCAUGAAUUUUGAUUUAAAAAAAAAAAAGGCCUUCAACAAUGAGGUGGAAGAACGAGACCCACCAAAACUAUUGACAGGCCAUGAUGUGUGGGAACAAGUUAAAGGUAUCAAUAACAAAUGGGGAAAAGGAACAAGCAAGAAGCGAAAAAGUGUUGAUGAUAGUAAUACGAGCAACUGUUGGAAGAAAAAGUCAAUAUUCUUUGAUUUAGAGUACUGUAUAUACUUGCUUGUUCGACAUCAAUUAGAUGUUAUGCAUAUUGAAAAAAAUGUGCGUGAAAGUAUCUACGGCACAUUAUUGAAUAUUCCAGGAAAAACAAAUUACCUUCCUCAUCCACUUGAUAAUGAGGUAUUUGAAAGUGAAUGUCUGGCUUAUAUCGGGAGGGAUGAUUGUUAUGCAUUGGCUACCAUGGAAUGGUUAGGCCUUAAUCACAUGCAUAUCUAUAUGGCGUAAGUAAUUUCUUUUUCCUUUUUUAAUUAUCAAAAUCUAUUAAAAGAUUAUAUAAAUAUUUAAUUCUUGCUUUUUGUGUGAAUAUCAGUUGCUUAUAUGAUAAGAUUCCAGCUGAUAAAAUGGGCAAGCCAUUUGGCUUCAUGAACCUGGUCACGUUAGCCCCAGCAGAGUUGAAAAUGCGCUUAAAACGCGCAUAACAAGGACACAAGCAAUUGCUAAUCGUUUGGCCAAAGCUCGCCCCUCUUAAUUCAUAUUCAUUCCUUACAAUCAUGGGUAUAUUUAUUUUCAUUUAUAUUCAUUUUCAUUAGUAAGCAGGUUGUUAAUUUUCAUUUCUUCCUACUUACAAGUUGUCGCUUAAUUAUAGCGCUCAUUGGAUUCUUGUUGUGAUCGAUGUGGUUGCAAAGACUGGAUAUUUCAUGGAUCCGCAAGGAAAUAGUCCAGCGGAAGACAUUAAAGAGUUGGUAAUAAAGUAGGUAUAUCAAAGUUAAAUCAUCAUAGAAUGUUACGUCCAUUAUAAACAUUUUAGUAGUUCUAACAGUAAGUUUUAAACUCCUAGUGGGAGCAACAUGUUCGCAACAACGAGCGGUAAAAAAAGAGUGCACUCUGAAUUCAAAAUUGUACAGGUAAUACAAUUUACUUUUUCCUAUCAUUUAAAUUAACUACCUGUUAUAGCUUUUUAAGUACUUAGAUUGAGUUUUAUUAUUGUAGGUUCCAAAACCACCUGGAUCUUAUGAGUGUGGAUAUUAUAUCAUGCUGUAUAUGAGGGAUAUUAUUGUCGAUCCUAGUUUAUUGCUCAACAAUGUAAGUGAUAUGUUUUAUGUCCAUCAUUGGUUAAUAUUUUUUGUCCAUCAUAUUUGCUGUUAAAUCAUUUGGUCAUUUGCAGUUUAAUAACAAAUCAAUUUACACUCAGACAAAAAUGGAUGAGGUACGAUAUUAAUGGAUGAGCUAUGUCCGAGUGCUCAUAUAAGGUGAGGAGCUGUUUAUUAAAUACUUUGGUUAGCGUAGGCCUGUUUUGCACUCUCAUGUUCAUUUACUUGGCUAUAUUAGCUUGGUUUGAGAGCCAGUUUUGAUAUGUAAAUUGACACGACUCAAAAGUGUAUUACUCUCAAGUAUAAGAGUGUUUAGUUAUAAUAUAACCCGGUGAGACCGGGGUCGAACCACAUGGAGUUUUAAAUCUAGUAAAACUAAGAAAAUUAAUUGUGGGGAAAAGAAAUUAUUUGAAAUCAAUUUAAAAAUAAGCUCAGGUUUAGGAUCCACUCUCUGUAUUCAAACUAUAAUUUUAAUACUCUCUCAUUUAUAUUUUGCCUCACUUUUACCAAUUAAUUAUUAUAUCAUUUAAUUCUAUGUGUAUGGAUAAAUAUAGAAUAAAGUACCUAAUGUGCCACACUAUACUAAUGUGUCGACAUUAUGUUAAAAUACCAUAAAUCCAGUGAGAUUUAUAAAUUAACAUGAUAUAAAAAUAAUUAAAAAAGAAUUAAAUAAACUUAAAAACUCAUUUGAGAAAAUAAUAAUAAUUAAUAGUUUGAAACAUUGAGCUUCACACUUCACCUUAACUUAAUAAAAUUAGCUACUCAUAUUGAAAGAAAACACAAUACUCUUUUUAUUUGAUGAACUUUUUGAAAUAUAUUACAAAAAAAAUUGAUACAAACGGAAACAAGAAAAGAAAAGAAAAGAAACAAAGAAAGAAAGAAAUUCUUCAGCUGCACUCUAUUCUCUGUCGGCUUAAGCUCUCAAAAUAGCUCUCCUUCUUCUUCGGCUUCUCAAUCUCUCCUCCCUUUUAUAGGCAACAAUUGCUUUUAACUUUCUUUAUUUUAUUAUUUUAUUAUUAUUUUAAAAUAUAUAAGUGUGUUGAAAUGUGUGAUGGUCAGGAGGCGUGAUGGCCUCCUGACCAUCACCAAUAUGUUUUUGUUCUUUUGUUCUUUUUUUUUUCUUUUUUUUUAUUUAUUAUUUAGUAUUACAUCUCUUCAAUUUUUGUUCUAGUAGUUCUUCUUUAUUUCUGCUUUCAAUUCCAAUUCCAUCUUUAUUCCUAAAAAAUAUUUACAAGAUAAAAAUUAACACAAAUUAUGAAUUAAUUUAACAUAAAAUAUAUUUGGGGAGUAUUAAAAUAAUUUAGAAAUAAUGAACGCAUUAAUCGACACAAUAAGUGAAAAACUAAUAAUUGUAUUCUUAUUAAAUGUACACUUUUUAGUGUCAAUCACACCCCCCAAUCAGCUUAUUGCUAGGCCCUAGCAAUUUAAGCGAUAAAAAUUUAGAGAAAUUUCAAAACCAAAUUGAAAAUCUUUUUUUUUUUUUGAAAAAUUGUGUUUAUAUCCUCCAUCAAAUUAAUGACAACAAUCAAAUAAAAGUAUAAGUAUUAUCUUCAGCCUAAAGAAGAUCACACCCGCACAAAACAGUUCAGUAAAAUCCUGUAAAAUGAUCAAUUAUCAGAGCUACAUUAAUCAAGCCACUUUUAAGAAUGAUACAUCAAACCUAAAAAUCUCACGAUUAAGAGCGACUCUUUCAAAAAAAGAUAUACCCCAAAUUUAUUUGUCACUCUAAAAAAAUGGUAAAUUUGAGAGAAUAAUAAAACAAUAUCACACGCUAUCACCAAGAUGAAAAAAUAAUGCCCACAGCUUAGAAAUAAAAUGAUCUCAAGUCCAAUGAAUUACUAGCAAAAUUUAUUUUUAUUUUUAUGUAUCACCACAUCUUUUAGUCCAUAUUACCAGCUUUUACUUCAGACUAUAGUUCCCAAAAAUUGAGAAUGAUUUUUAUUAGGACGUAACGUAAGCUAGGGUUAUGGCUAAAAAAAAAAAAAGGUAAUAGGGAAAACAAAAAUAUAUGUUUGAAAAAUAGGGGACUUUUUGGAGAUUAUAAGGUGUUUUUUUUUUCUUUUUGCUUGGUUUUUUUUCUUUUUUAUUAAUUGAUACAUACAUAUCAUCUUUCUUUUUUUUUCUUUUUUUAUAGCACCAUUAUUAGGAAUACAUAAUCAUCCUUAUUUUUAAACAUAAUUGGGUGAUGAAAAACAUAAAACAUAAGGUGAUACUCCUCAUUGGAGUAGGAAAAUAUGAUAGGUUACCAAAGAAAAUGUUUUUUUUUUUUUCAAAGGCUCAAAGGGGUUAACUAUAGAUUCUUUAUAAUAGGGUUGGCUAGAAAGGCUCAAACAAAUCAAAGAUGGCCUUCUGUCAUCUUUUAGGGUUCUAUAUAAUCUUUCAUAUCUACUAGUUCAAUGGACUUUUAGAUGCGGCUGAACAAAUUUUUUUUUUUUUUAAAUAUUGAGAUCUUGUACAAUAAAUUGUGAAGCUGUAUAGGCAAACAAUAUUACUUUUCAAGGAUAAUAGGCUCAAAACCUCGCUUGGUCUUUUCAUAACAUGUACAUUUCUCCAAAUGACUUAAUUAAUUUCACUUAUUCAAUUUCUCAAUUUACGUUUCAACAUGCAAAGGGAAAAACAUAGUGUAACAUAACUCAAGGCCAAAGAUAAUACGAAUACCAAAAUUUAAAAAUCAUCAUGUUAUCCAAUGUUAAAAGAUCAAACCGAAAAAGAAAACUCUUUUUUUUUUUAAAGAAAACACAAAAAGAAAUUGGGACUGAUUGUAGAAACUUAAGGGAGAUGAUUAAGAGAAAGAGAGAAAAAGACCAAAAACAAAAAGUUAGAAACAUUUUUUUUUUGGAAGAAAACACAAAAAUUAAGAAGAUGCAUUUCUAGAGACACUACAUUCUAUAUUCUGCCAUCUUCGACUUAAAUUUUUAUCUAAAGUUAGUCUUUACAACAAAAAUUAGUAAAAACAUCACUAGGACUGAGACAUUCCACAAUUAUCAACUAUUCCCUCCCCCCAACCUGAAGGAGACAUUGUCCUCAAUGUCUAAAGAAAUGAGUAGAGUUUAGAAGAUAUCACCUGGCCACUACUGGAAAUAUUUACAAACGGAGAGUUAAAUCUAAUUUACACUUUUUACGAGAGUUAUUGCCAUCAUCAUCAGUUGCCCAAUCCAACGCCAGAGUCAUGGGAUCUGGCUCUGGUUUGUAAGCUUGCAAAAGAUCAAGUAACUCAUUAGCAGUAGGAGCACAAAUGAAGAGUUUUUUCGCUGAGGAUGGAAUGAAAUAAUUUUUUAUUGCAUGAUUAAGAAAUGUUAUUAAGCCAUCAUAAAAGUUAUUAACAUUUAACAAACCGAUGAGUUUUUUUAUGGAUAUUCAAAUAGGCCCAAGAAGCAAAUGUAAUUAGCGCUUCCAAAGUUGCAAGGUCUCCUGGCAAGAAAAUAAAAGCGUCAGCAUGAUUCAACAUUUCAGAUAUUCUUUCUUGCAUACCUAAGACAACUAACUCUUCUCCAGUUGGUGGGUCUGGUAGACAUCCUAAAGGUUUUAAGGCUUUUGGAAUGAUGCCUAGCACUUGGUUUCCUCGAACGAAAGCAGCUUCAGAGACAAGCUUUGAUAACCCUCAGUCACCUCCUCCAUAUACAAGAUGUAGUUUCCUCUUCGCUAUAGCGCGACCAAGAUCUAAGGCUGCUUGAACGAACUCCUUAUACUUUCCAUAGCGAAAUCCAGAAAACACACAAAUAUUUUUAAGUUGACUGCUUGAAGUUGCUGCCAUUAGAACAAUUCUAAAAAGAAACAAUUUAUGAGUGCUUGAAAAGAAGUUCCUAUUUAAGGAUCUUGGUGGCGGACAUAAUGAUAUACAUCUGUAAAUGGGGUGGUGUGUUUGUCAAAUGACGCGUGAAGCUUUUAGCUUAAUAAUUCAAAGGCAAACAGUGAAAAGAAAAAGCAAACAAUGUUAGAUAAAAUAAAGAAAAAAAACAAUAAUAAUAAUAAUAAUGCAAAAGAUAAAAGAACAGUAAAAUAAAAAGAUAUUUACUGGUAGUUGUGAUUGUGGCUCACAUCUUCCUCUGGUUUUACGUCCAGUAACUGCUUGAACGCCCUCUAUAGGUCGAGGAUAGACUUCCCAUCCAAUUUUCUUAUAAACUGGCAAACAAGGUCUUUUAGAGUCAAAUUCCCAAGACUAAACCGUGCACUUUCCUUUUGGAACAACUUCCAUAAAUUUUGAAUUUCACGUUGAACAUAUCCGCUCGGAUGCGUCUCAAGAGAUCGUAAGAUAUCAUCCAGCGAUUCUUUACUCAUGCCAUCCUUAACGAAUAUGAUUUUAUCUUCACGAUUUACAGAGACCAUUCCUAAAGCUUUACAACGUGGAUUUUUGCAAGCAAGUCUUACACAAUGAGAACAUUCAGAGCCAAGUCGCUUAGCUCUUCUUUUCUUAGCAAAUGUACUUUUACCAAAACCAGGCAUGUAGGAAAUGAAUGGAUCAGAAAACUCACCUGCCAAUCAGACCUCUGCUUCAAUUAACCAGCGAAUGUCAACAGGAAUCCCAUUGAUCAUUAACAAACCCAGUAGUUCACAACGAGCUUUGUAAAUCUUCUUAAGAGCAUUUUGAGGGAGAGAAUGAAAAUGUUGAUGCAAAUUUUGUUGUAUUUCUUCCAUACUUGACAUUGAGGUUUCAGUUAUUGUGGGAAACUGAGAAUACCGACUUAAAAAAGUCACGGAGUACCGUUAUCCGCCAUUUAUACGGGAGAGUGAAUCAAAACAAAACAAAUCAAAUCUGCAAAACCAAAUCAAAAGUGAAAAAGAACAACAACAAAAAACACACACAAGGGAUAUAACUCACCUUCGUCCUUUUAUUGAAUCCAGUUCCAAUUGCAGAUGAUAAAUACCAUCCUCUAUUUCCUUGAGUUGUCUUUCUAGAUCUUUCACGUGAGAUACUAACGCUGGUGGUUGUAGAUCCCAAAUGGGAUGUAAUUUACAAAAUCAGAGCAAUUUCCUCAAGUGAAAAUUUACAUGAAAAAGCGUUUUAAGAUGAUUGAAAAAGAAAUUUCUCGUGGAGGUACUCAUGACAAGUAUAAAAAUUUGGUGAGCUAAAUCACAAUUGUCAAACAACACACAAUCAAAACAAUGCAAUGCACUCCAUUCAAGACAUAGGGAAAAGGAAAAAGAAAAAAAAUCUUCUUAAUUCAAACGAUAAAGUAAUAGUAAAUCAAAUUCACAAAACGUUAAAAUGAAAAAGCUUAAUCAAAAUUUUGGUGGGUCACUCAAAUGGAUUUCGGUAUCUGCUUCAUGUGGUUGGUAUUCCAGAUAUAGUUUCAAUCUUUGGCCAUUAACUUUAAAUGUGACACCAUCUCUUGAUAAUCUAGAAAGGGUAAUGACACAUGCAAUGCUAAUGAUGCAUAAAACACUAAAUGAAAUUGCAGAAAUAAAAACAAACUGAAAAUUAAAUAAGCAAAAAUGUGAAAUAAAAAUAAACAAACUGAAAAUAAAUAAAAUAAAUAACUUUGGCGGUGAAACCAGCCAUAAACAAAGAAAUUAAAAGAAACAGUUUAGGUGGUAUUUUAAAACCAGCCAUAUAAUAAAACAUAAAAUUAAAUAAAUUAAUGUACAAGAAUAAAUAAACUAAAAUUAAAAUGAUAGGCGAUAGAACCAACCAUAUAAAUAAAUUAGCAAAGUAAAAUUAAAAUGCUAGGCGGUAGAACCGACCAUUUAAACAAAAAUAUAUAAAUUAACAAAAUUUAAAUAACAGUCAGGUGGUAGAACCGACUAUUUAAAAUAAAUGUGAAAAGUAAAUUGCAGAAAUUUAAAGAAAUAAAUUUGAUUUAGGGACUGAUUUGCAAAGGUUUUUGGGCUAAGAUGAAGUUUCUCACGAAUUUUAUGGAUAAUGUUAAAUUUUGAAAAGAAGAGGGGUGGUAACUGAAGUUUUACAAAAAGAGAAUAAAAUAGAAUCACGGAAAGAUGGUAACGACAAAACAAAAAAAUAUAUUAAAAAAAAUAAAAAUAAAGUAAAGACAAACUAAUACCAAAUUUAGAAAACUCACCGGCAACGGCGCCAAAAACUUGACACGACUCAAAAGUGUAUUACUCUCAAGUAUAAGAGUGUCUAGUUAUAAUAUAACCCGGUGAGACCGGGUUCGAACCACAUGGAGUUUUAAAUCUAGUAAAACUAAGAAAAUUAAUUGUGGGGAAAAAAAAUUAUUUGAAAUCAAUUUAAAAAUAAGCUCAGGUUUAGGAUCCACUCUCUGUAUUCAAACUAUAAUUUUAAUACUCUCUCAUUUAUAUUUUGCCUCACUUUUACCAAUUAAUUAUUAUAUCAUUUAAUUCUAUGUGUAUGGAUAAAUAUAGAAUAAAGUACCUAAUGUGCCACACUAUACUAAUGUGUCGACAUUAUGUCAAAAUACCAUAAAUCCAGUGAGAUUUAUAAAUUAACAUGAUAUAAAAAUAAUUAGAAAAGAAUUAAAUAAACUUAAAAACUCAUUUGAGAAAAUAAUAAUAAUUAAUAGUUUGAAACAUUGAGCUUCACCAUUUACCUUAACUUAAUAAAAUUAGCUACUCAUAUUGAAAGAAAACACAAUAUUCUUUUUAUUUGAUGAACUUUUUGAAAUAUAUUACAAAGAAAAUUGAUACAAACGGAAACAAGAAAAGAAAAGAAACAAAGAAAUAAAGAAAUUCUUCAACUGCACUCUAUUCUCUCUCGGCUUAAGCUCUCAAAAUAGCUCUCCUUCUUCAGCUUCUCAAUCUCUCCUCCCUUUUAUAGGCAACAAUUGCCUUUAACUUUCUUUAUUUUAUUAUUUUAUUAUUAUUUUAAAAUAUAUAAGUGUGUUGAAAUGUGUGAUGGUCAGGAGGCGUGAUGGCCUCCUGACCAUCACCUGACCAUCACCAAUAUGUUUUUGUUCUUUUGUUCUUUUUUUUCUUUUUAUUUUAGUUUAUUUUAUUUAUUAUUUAGUAUUACAUCUCUUCAAUUUUUGUUCCAGUAGUUCUUAUUUGUUUUCGCUUUCAAUUCUAAUUUCAUCUUUAUUCCUGAAAAAUAUUUACAAGAUAUAAAUUAACACAAAUUACGAAUUAAUUUAACAUAAAAUAUAUUUGGGGAGUAUUAAAAUAAUUUAGAAAUAAUGAACGCAUUAAUUGACACAAUAAGUGAAAAACUAAUAAUUGUAUCCUUAUUAAAUGUACACUUUUUAGUGUCAAUCAUAAAUAUAAUGUCUAGUUGUUUUGGGUUGAGCUUGUAAUUAUGCUGGAUUACAUUGGUUUGGUUUUGAUGCUUCUCGGAUGGAAACCUGCCUAUUUGGAAUUUUCAUUGUAAUGUCAGUAUCAAACUACGAGUAGUUUAAUUAAACACAACAUCUAUUUUAACUACCAGAAGUGUGAAUCUAGUGGCAUUUGGUUUAGUUUAUUUCAUGUUUUCCAGCAUCUGAUCACUUGCAUUUGGUUUUGUUGAAUAUGUUACUUGCAUUUGAUGGAAGUAUGAGACAGUGUGGCAUUUCAUGUAACUUGCAUUUGAUGGAAGUAUGAGAUUGUUUGACAUUUGAUGGCAGUUUGGUUUGUUCUUCCUAUUAAUUCAAGAUUGUUCUUGACGUGCUGAUGUUAAUUCAAGCAGGGUUUAUUGAGAUGGCAGUUUGGUGCUUCAUUCAGCUGAUUGUUGCUGGUUUAUUGGGAUGGUUUCAUCAAACAGUAUUGUUGGUUUUAGUUGUGCUGCUAGUGGCUUAUAAAAUCUGAUUCAAGAUUGUUCAUUUAAGAAACUGUAGUCGUUAUUUUAGGAAACAAAUUAAUAACUGAUGAAGUAUUUAUGUAACUAUAGUUAUUGUAGUUAUUUUAUUUCAUAACAAGAUUAUAAUUUAUGAAACUUGUGGACAUGGAUUUAAGAAUUAUUGUAUAUGAAUUUUAUAUAUAUGUGUGUGUGUAACGUUUUUAUUUAUUUAUAUAAUAAUUUAAAGGAUAUAUUUUAAUUUUUGCCAAAAAGAAUGGUGCCAAUUUCAUUAAUUCCCGCCAAAAUAUAAUACAAAAAAAUUGCCGCCAAUUUCAUUGUUUCUCGCAAAAAACAAUUAUAAAUUUGGCGCCAAUUCCAUAAAUUCUCACAAAAAAAUAAAAUGUAUUUCAUUUACCGCCAAAAUUCAGGAAUUAAUAUUUAAUUAAAUGUAUAAGUAAUUUAAUUAUUUUAAUUAAAUAUGUCAUGUUUACGUGACAAACAAUAGUCAUGAAUGGGAAAUGUUAUUGACAGACAUUAGUCUUGAGCGAAAAUUUUUCAUCAAACCAACGAUGACAGAAUCGUGAUGGAUAAUACGUCAUGCUUACCAUGACAUAUAAAAACUAUCAUGAUUUUUUCUUAACACCAGAAUCAAUGACGGUUGCUCAACUAUCAUGCCAUGCCGAAAAUGACGGGUAAUACCCGUCAUAAAGAGCUUUUUUUCUAGUAGUGGCACAAAAUUGAUAAAAUUUCAAUUCAAUCUCAUAUUUGAUUCUAAUUUCGUUGUAUAUAGGCUCUCUACAUAGUUUUGCUCUUGUCUAUUAUCUACAACUACGUGCUUCCCCUAACUAGCUAUCUUCAUAGAAGGGGGGGUGGGGAGGACAAACAAUAAACCACAAAAUAAAGGUGUCAUAAAACAACCAAUCAGACAAACCCUUGUCAUCACUGCAUAAACAACCAGAUCCUCCCCUGAUAUUCAAGCAUUGUCAUAAGUUUGACACAAAGAAAAGAUGACAUUAUAAAAGUUUCAAAUAGUUGCUCUCGUCAUCUUUGUGGCUCUUUUAUCUAAAUUUAUAGAGGUAAACUUGGAGCAAUUAAAAUUAAUUUAUUGGUGAAUUUGCUACUUUAAUGAGAGAAAUUAUAACGACUUACCCUGAACACCGAAGGAAUCAUCCUUAAACAUCCUUCCCAAGGGAUGUGGGAUGUCACAAAUAUCCUCAUAUUUUCAAUUGGAAGUGCUCUGAUACUAUCUAAAACGAUCCAAUAUUUUCAAUUGGAAGUGCUCUGAUACUAUCUAAAACGAUCCACCCUAAACUUCAAGGACAAAUGUAUCUAGUUUCAUCUAACAUGACUAGAUAAAGUUAUCAAGGUUUGGGGAUUUUUCCAAAAUUGAGUUUGGGUCUUUCACAACUGAAUUGGAGAGUUUAUCUAAAGUAUUUCCAUCCUUUAAAAUUCAUCUGAGAACACUUAAUGGACAAGAUUUUAAGUGUAGGAGGUGUAAAUGAAGGAUUUGAGGGAGACAAAAAUGUAUUCGAGCUUUCAAGUUAGAAUUUUUCACCAAAGGAAGUAAUAUUUUUAUCAUUCUAUGUAUAUUUAGGUUGAAUCUCAAGCAUACAGGAUAAAGUUAAUUUAAAUAUUUGUGUAUUUUAUUUAAAGUUAGGUUUUCUAACAAAUGGGUAAAGUUGGUUUCAAGCUAAUUGGUGGAUUAUUUUAGAUGCGCAAGGGCACGAACAAGGUAUUAUAAAGUUGGAUAUGCAUGGCCCUUACUGUUUUUUUUUUUAUUCAGUUUGUAGUUACUUGUAGUUUUAGCUUUUUACGGUUGUUAAAAGUCUAAAUUUUUGUAUUCUCUUUAAUGAUUUUCUCAAUAUAUAUUCUAUAAGUACUAUCUAAUAAUUUGGUAAUAACUUGAGGGCUUGUUUGGUUGUUGUAUUAAAGCCCCUCAUUGUAUUAAUUUUACACAAGCCCAUGUUUGGCAAAUAAAAAGUUACAGUGCCACCACAUUAAAAGCCCAAGCUAAUGCGGCAGUUGCCGCAUUAGCUAAACCCGACUCACAGUCGGGUUUAACUUAAUGCGGCAACUGCUGCUUGUUUUUUUUUUUUUUCUCUCUCUCUCCCUUUUUGCUUUUGCAAAUGUCGCUGGAGUCUGGACUUUUACUUUUGCUUUUUGACUUUUGCUUUAUAAUAAUAAUAAUAAUAAUAAUAAUAAUUAAAUAUAACUUUUAAUUUUAUUUUAUUUUUUUAUUUUUUUAUUUUUAUAUUAUAAUUAUUAAUAUAAAUUAAUAAACAUGUAAUUUAUUAUUCAAUAUUAUUAUAUUAUAUUAUUUUUUUACAUUAUAAUUUAUUAUAACUAAUAAUAAAUAGUUAAAUAUGAGUAAAUUUGAAUAAUAUUAAUUUAAAAUUAAUAAUAAUAUAAAAUAUUAAUACAAUUUAAGUAUAUUAAUAUAAUAUAAUAUAGUAUAAUAUUUAAUUUAAAUUAAUCAAAAAAUUUAUUACAGUACAGUGUAGUACCAAAUAUUGUACAGUAUUAUUAUAAUACAGUGCUAAUGCAAUACAACAUAAUACAAUACACCAGCAUUAAAAUAAUGCAAUAUACUAUAAUACAAUACAUGUACCAAACGCACCCUAAGGGAAUUAAUCAUUGUCCCAAUAGAGAAAUAUUUUGCUUCAUCUCAAUAAACUUUUAAUGUUACAUAGUAUAUAUAUAUUUUGUAAUAUAUAGAUAAGUAUUACCACAUGGAGGCAAGUUUCUUAAGACGGGAUCUAGAAAAAUUAUAACUUAUUAUAAUAUGGAGUACAUUCUUAUUUAUAACUAACCUACAUUAAUUGGGACCAUAAUUUUUUAUAACUAUAUCAAGGUGAUUCCUUAUGGAGUAUCACUAUUAAGAGAUUUUACUGUAUACUAUUCUUCUUUUCCUUUUCAGAUUUAUCAUUCAAUUAAGUACAUGUUCAGUUGGCAGAAAUGUGAGGAGAGAAGAAGAGUGGAAUUGAGAGAGGGAGAGAGAAAAUAAGUGAAAAAGAUGGUCAAUCUUAAUUUCAUUGUUUGGUUUGACCUCUUCUUUCCUUAUUUCUUUCUCCUUUUCUCCUCUCUUCCUCUUAUUUUUUUUAAAUUUCUUCAAACCAAAUAUGCCAUAAGGGAAGAGGUUUGGGUUUAAUGUCCAGUUGGCCGAGCAUAUAUUUAAAAAAUAAGACCUAAGAUAUUUACAUCGUUUCUUUUGAUAGUUAGAAGUUACUUCUAUAUUGUUACCAAUGGCAUUCGUUGGUCCAUUGUUUGAAUUUUUAAAAUAUAUCAGAGCAAAAGUACCCCAAAAAAAUUGGAUUCAAUAGUUACAAAAAUAAUUUUGUGGGUGUUUUCAGUCAUUUUUUAAAUAGGAGGACUAACUAAACAAUUGACUCAAACCUUAGUAGUAGAAAUGGCAUUUAAGAUAUUGUUGGUAACUCAUGAGCAUGGACUCUUAUUUGGCCUCAUCAAGUUUGUAAUUUCUUCAUUCUAGCCUCCGUGGAACAAAAUCCUUAUUUUUGCCAUUGCAUAGCGGAAUAGCAGCUUGUGUUAGAUCCAUGCAACAAGCCCAUGUAAGGAAAAAUAUUAGACAAACUUAAAAUGCUAUUAUUUGGUCCUUAUCUUCAAGUUCAAGUUUUGUAUAUGUAGCUUUCUCAAUAAAUAUGUUUUCACUUCAGAUUUUUAGUCAUUGAGAGCUAGGUAUUGUAUUUUUCUUUUAUCUUUUUAAUUUCGGCUUCUUCUUUGUGCUAGACAUUGUACAAUUAUGGAGCAAAAAUGGUAGCCCUACUUGGAAUAGUUCCAGUUGGCUGUGCACAUGGCAAUAUUGCUGCAUCCUACAUAUAGUACAAAUGGUUUUCUAUGUGUAGACUCCAUAAACAAGGCAGUUUAGGAAUUCAAUACAAGGCUUAAAUCGAUUCAUAGUCAAUGACCUCAAUACCAAUUUUUAGGAUGCCAAACUUAUCUAAACGUUCAUGGGAUCGCUUUAGGCCCAUCACUUGGCUUACAAGGACCAACUCCUUGUGCCCAAUUACCAAUAUAGCCAAUAUCCCUUUCAGCACUGCAUGUACUAUAAGAGCUCUCCAAGUUUUCUAUGGCGCAGCCCAUCCCACUGAGGUUAUUAACUUGGUUUCUGCUAAAAGUAUUAGAACAAGAAAUCAUUUGGUGAAAACCAUCACCCAUAAUAUAGGAGUAUUCAUGUUGUAUCACUAAAAAUAAAUAAAAAAAAUAUGCGGAAGCGUACCUGAAUCUAUAGUGCUUAAUUGCUCUCUAGUAUUGUGUAGUUAGCCUUUCAAAUCAACACACUCUCCUAGAUAAUCCUUUAAUUUUUUCUCUACUCUCUCUCUUUCUGUGAUGAUGGGAUGUUAGUAGAGAAUAUAAAGAUACAUGUGACCUGGGACCAUGACCACUUAUAUAGAUAAUUUUUCCUAUUGUCUUAAGGUAUUUCUAUUUCAACUCAUCAUAGAAAUAGAAAUUACCCUUAAGUCUUUACAAAUUAAAGACUCACACCUUAUCAGAUACAUUAAAGCCUAUAUUAUCAAAAAAUUAAUAGAUCGCUUUUAAUUGGGUUUAACACUAUAUGAUAGUUCGCAAAACAUUAUUAUUCACAUAUAAGCUCAACGUUAGAUUAGGGAUCCAACAAUAUUGGAUUAAAUAUCCAACAAUCUCCUACUUGGACUAUAUAUGUAACCUUAUAAUUAUGCUUUGCAAAAAUAACCGUAUGAGCUCCACCUUACUAUCACUACCAAAAUGUAUCUAUAACCAAUCUAGUCCAUCAAUUAUACCAAUAUAAGAUCAAAGCGACAUUCGUUACAACUAUCGUAACUCAACCAUCAAUGGUUACUAUAUAUGCCAAUAUAACUAAAUGGCAUAUAUCAUGAUAUGGAUGUGUAGUAUGAAAAUUUCAUGUAAUUUGAUCUUAACAUGUCUAUUUCCAACUGGUCAACUUUAAACCUUAGUGAGAUAAAACCAUACUAAAAUCAAAGUGUGAAUAAGCGUAAACUUUAUUUCAAUAGAAAAUAGCCUUAAAUAUUCAUAAACCCAAAUAACUGAAAAUGUCUAUAUUAUAAGAUUAUCUAAAAUCACAAACUCCGUCUAAAACUGAAUAUCUUUAAUGACAUGCCAGUGUGCAAAUGAAACAUUUUUGGGUGGCAAUCCCUUAGUAAGCAGAUCUGCAAUCAUAGAGUUUAUACCAAUGUAUUCUAUAGACAAUUAUCCACCCUAAACUUUUUGUUUAACAACUAGGAACUUUAUGUCUAUAUACUUCUACUUCAUUGAACUCUUGUUUUUAUUAGAAUACAACACUGCUGACUUAUUAUCAAAAAAUAACUUGAGUGGUUUAUCAACGCCAUCUAUUAUAUACAGCUCUGUGACAAAUUUUCAUACCAUAUUCCGUGCUUAGAUACCUCAAAACAUGCUAUGAACUUUGCUGCUAUCGUAGAAGAGGCUAUAAGAGACUGUUUAGCACUCUUCCAGGAAAUAGCAACCCCAGCUAGUGGAUAGAUGUAACCCGAAGUGGAUUCCAUAUUGUCUUGCCAUCAAACAAAAUCGGAGUCAGUAUACCCAAUGAUCUCAAGCUGAUUUGACUUCGAUACCUGAGCAUGUAGUCUUUUAUUUUUUGUAAGUAUCGCAUGACCCAUUUGAUUUCUUUUCAUGGUCUACUCCUGGAUUACUCAAAUACUUGCCUAAUAUCCUAGUAAUAUGUAUAAUAUCUGAUCGUGUACAAACCUGAGCAUACAUCAGACAUCCUACUGCUAACGUAUAAGGAAUAUUUUGCAUUUUCUUCUCCUCAAAAUCAUUCUUAGGGCACUACUUAAGACUAAACUUGUCUCCUUUAGCCACAACGAUAUUACCUGGUUUGCAAUCUUGCAUGCCAUAUCUUUCAAGAACUAUUUCGAUAUAGCUUUUUUUUAAUAAUUUAAGAAUACCUCGGGAGUGAUCCUAGUGUAUCUGUAUGCCUAAUAAUAAAGAGACAUCGCCAAGAUCUUUCAUCUCUAAGUUCUGAGCUAGAAAUCUCUUGGUGUCGUACAAUAAUUUUAUAUUGCUGCUGGCAGGCAAAAUUUCAUCAAUAUAUAAAAUAAAAAAAAUUAUGUUUACUCCUAGAAAACUUAUGGUAUAUACAAUCAUUAACCAAGUUCAUCUCAAAAUCAAGUGAGAUGAUCACUUGAUGAAAUUUAAAAUACCAUUAUUGAGAUGCUUGCUUGAGCCCAUAGAUUGAUUUUUUAAAAUUGCAAACUAUAUUCUUUGGAUCUCCUGACACAAAGUUUUCUGGCUGCACUUUAUAGAUCGUCUCAUCAAUGUCAUCAUUGAGAAACGUUAUCUUCACAUCUAUAUGAUAUAACUCAAGAUUGAAAUGUGCCACCAAUCCCAUUAUAAUCCUAAAAGAGUCUUUCGAAGAAAUCGAAAAGAAAGUCUUUUUAUAGUUGAUGCCUUUUUUCUGUGUGAAGUCUUUUGCGACAAGACACGUCUUGUACCUCUCCACAUUGCUUUUUGAAUCCUUCUUGGUCUUAAAUAUCCAUUUGCAACCAAUCGGUUUCUCACGUUUUGGCAAUAUGAUAAGUUCCCAUUUGCUAUUGUCCUUUAUGGACUUCAUCUUUUCAUUCAUAACAUUAAUCCACUUUUGAGAGUUAGAAUUUUUCAUGGCUUGAUGAAAAUUGAUCAGAUCAUUUUUCAUCAAAUUUUUAGAGAAGUACAAUGUAGUCAUUUAACACUACACUUCUAGUGGAUCUUCUUAAUAGCAUAGGUUCUUGAGGUGGUAGAGUUUGUUCUUCUAGAAUAACUUCUUAUAGUGGGCGUUCUCCAGCAUUGUCUUGAUCUAUUGUGUCCUGAUCUAAGUCAAGAAUGAGACCCUGAACAAUGCCAAUAACAGUUAUGAGAAUAUCAACAUAUUCAUCUUCAAAGACAAAGUCCUUAACUGCAUCACCCUCGGCAAACUCGACAUCUUCAAAUAACCAAAUAUUUCCCGACUCCAAAAUUGACUUAGGCAUGCAACCAUAAAACUUGUACCCUUGGAUCGUUUAAAAUAUUCAAUAAAAUAGCAACUCAUUGUCCUUAAGUCCAGUUUCUUCUUAUUCGACCUAUAACGCCUUGCCUCAGUUUGAAAACCCAGACAUGCAAAUGCUUUAGACUAGGCUUCUUGCCCAUCCAAAGUUCGUAAGGGCUUUCGGUAGUUGGUUUGGUUGGAACCAAAUAUGUUGUAGUCUUAAGCGCUUCCCCCCAGAGUAAUUCUAGUAAGGUAAAAUGACAAAUCAUACUCCUUACCAUGUCUUUACGUGUCUUGUUUUACCUUUCAGCAACAUCAUUGUGAACCGAUAUAGAGUAUUGUCGGAUGAUACUGUAUUCCUUUAUGAAUUUAGCAAAUUGUCCUAGACGUUGUUCACCUGAACCGUCAUGUUUGCCAUAAUAUUUACUACCACAGUUAGAUCUGACGCUUUUAAUUCUUUUGCUAAGUUGGUUUUCAACUUCAGCCUUAAAAUUUUUCAAUAUGUCCAAGGAUAAUGACUUUUUAUAGGGGAGACGUAUGUAGCCAUAUCUAAAAAAAUCAUCUAUGAACGUCAUAAAAUAUUGUUGACAAUUCCAAACUAUAGGGAAUAGCCCCUAAAUAUCUGUAUGUAUGAGUUCUAAGAAAUCCAAAGUUCUGUGGGCUUCAAAUCUCAUUUUAUUGGUUUGUUUCCCCUUAAUACAGUUAACACAAAUAUUAAAAUAUGUGAAAUCUAAGGGGUCGAGAAUUUUGUUUGACACAAAUCUCUUUAUUUUCCAUCUAGAAAUAUAACCUAAUCUCUUGUGCCAUAAUGCAGCUGAAUUCCUAUGGGUUAAUUUUCUUUUAAACCUCGUGUACUGAAUUGCAGAGAUUCAUUAAAGAAAGCAAUUGUAUCAAGCAUAUAAAGAUGAGCAUCGUCUGACAAAACACUCGAACCGACCAUUUUUAAAUCAUAAAAUAAACUGAAUUUUCUAUUUCCAAAUGAACAAGAAUAAACAGAUUUGUCCAAAGCAGAAAUGAAAAUCACAUUCCAUCUAAAAGACGGAAUAAUAAAUAUUUGUAUCUAAAUAAAAUCCACUCUUUAAUAAUAAUCUAAAAUUUUAAAUCGCUUCAACUUCAACCUUCUUACCAUUGUUCACAUAGAUGUAUCUUUCACCAUCAUUAAGCUUUCGACAAUUCAAGCAAUCCUGCUAGACACAUUGAUGUGAGUUGUUAUACCAAAAUCUAUUCACCACGUGUGUCUUGGUGUUAAAGUUAAGUUAACCUUAGAACAAGCCAAACCAAAUCCUUUAGUUCCGCAAAAGGAACAAUUAAUACCUUCUGGAUCAGCUAAUUUCUUUUGUUGUUCCUGUUGAGGUGUUGUAACUGCAGCUUUUUUAUCCUUCUUCCUUUUCUUGCCCUUGUCUUUGCCCUUGUACCUUAUUGAAAUUAGAUUUGCCAAUACCAUAUUAAUUUAUGCCUUUUUGUUCUUGACAACCUUUUCAAUUUCUAUAAGAAACUCUUUAGCUAUAAUUAUCUCUCUUAAGACAUAGAGCCUUUGAAUGCUUCUAGAAUGAUCUCCUUCAUGAUCAUGAUACACAUGCAAUUUGAUCUCUCCCACAUUUCUAUUUCCUUUUUAUCAUUAAGGGGUACUCUCACCCAUAAGAGAUGAGGGAGAAUCAACCCUUAAUCCAAGGUCAAAAUCCAUGACUGCGAGAGCUAUUAAGAGAUUCUCUUACCAUGAUUUAAAGUUAGAGCUAUUUAAUAUAAGAAUAAAAUUAAUGUUGGCAGUAAUAUUAGCAGCAGACAUAAUUGAUCAGAGAACAACAAACAAACAAACAAAACAAGCUCAUAUAAGUCUCAAAACAAAAAUUAAUUCAAAUAAAGGUAAAUCUCAUCUCAAGAUACCAGACACUCCAUUAAUAUUUCAUCUUUGAACAUGAUAUUAACUUGUAAGUGAUAUCUUGGUGUAGUAAUAUUAAUUUGUAAGUUAUAUCUUGUAACUUGUAAGUGAUAUAUUGGUGUAGUAAUAUUAACUUGUAAGAACAUGUCAAAAAAUAAAUUUUCCUUUAAGUCGAUUUAUUAUUUACAUGUAGAACUAAAUAAUUAUCACGUGUUUAUUACUAUAGGUGCACAUGUAAUUCUGUCAAAUAUAGACUUUUUUUUUGGCCAAUUGAUAUUUACAGAAAUUACGUACACACAAUCGUUUAUAUUGCAAAAUAAAUUAAUUUCCACAAGAGAGGUCACUUUGGCAACAUGUUGCUUUGAAUAAUUCAACUUAAAAUAUAUAUAAACAUACCAAUAUUUGAGUUUAAAAUUGUACAAAAAAUAAUCCUUAAAAAAUAAAAAAUUAGGUCAACGGUCAACGAUUAAUGUUGAUAGUUGACGGUCAAUCAUUGACUAAUAUAGGGCUAAACCAGUUCGGGUCAACUCGAACCAAAUCCUGAACUAGCCCCAAAUCAAAGCCUAGCCCUAUUUUUUUUUUAAUUCCUUUAUUUUCAUGGGCUAAACCUUAAUUAUACAUUUUAAUUUAUUAAGCACAAUCUCUAUAGGACCUAAAACUAAGUUUCAUUAAGCCCAAACAAAUUUAAGACUUAAAUGAGAAUCUUCUUAACCAUUCUGCCCAAAAAGAAUUUAUAGUACCUCAGGGACCUCCAAGAUAUAAAUCAUGAAGCCUUAAUUCCAUCUUUUUCUUGUCUUUGCGAUAGCCAUGCCGCGCUUCUUCUUCCAUGGCCGCUGCUCUUAAGUUGUGUGCUUGGCUGUUGGCAUGGCCUAACGGUCGUGCCUAGGCCAUUCCUUUUUUUUUUUUUUCUCUCUUUUUGUUGUUCUUGAUGUGGUGGCUUAGGCCGCCACUUUUAUAUAGUGGUCGCAGCGUGCUUGCUAGUGUGGCCUAAUGGUCAUUCCAUGCCCGGCCUAAAGCCGUAUUGUCAGAGUCUUCAUGUAUUCUUAUUUUUUUGUUGUCUUCAUGUAUUCUUAUUUCAGCACAUCAUACAAAUAGAAAUUACCAUUAAGUCUCUACAUAUUAAAGGUCCACACCAUAUCAUAUAAAUUAAAGUUCAUAUUACCGAAAACCUUAAAAGAUCACUUUUAAUUGGGCUUAACCUUAUAUGGCAGUUUGCAACACAUAAUUAUUUACAUAUAAGCUCAAUGUUGGAUUAAGAAUUCAAUACUAUUACAAUGACUUUUUAGGUAUAACUAAGGUCCCGUACUCCCGUUUGGUAUUGAAAUUAGGUAACUUAAAUUUAUAAGUUACAUUAUUAAAGUGUUUGCUAAAUACUAGCUAGUACAACUCGGAAGUUUAGUUGAUUUAAUGAAAAACUUAUAAUAUCUUUAUUAUUUUUGAGAAAAUUAUUAUUUAAAAAUUAUGUUUACUACACAUUAUUAAUUUUUAUUCCAUAAUUAUAUUUUUUUUCAGCAAUUAUACCUUAAAAGCCACAGCAUUUCAAUACCAAAUUGAGCCUAAAAUAAUUUUUAUAUGAUUUGUAAAAAGUAAUGUCAAGUGAUUUGGCUUGUCUAGAAAUGGAGGCUAAAUAUCCAGACCAUUGUGUCAUACUUAAUAUACCAAAGCCGUGCACCUCCAAUGAUUUCUAGAGGACAAUGUCAUGCUCAAGGUUACGACUCUGGUGCUUUCUGCUCCAAAGGAUACAAACAAAUGUUGCUGCUAUAAAAAUACCCCAAGUAAUUACUUAAUUCUUAUAUAUACAUGUCAAAUUACUAUAUAGAAAUAAUCAAUUAUUUUACUAAUUGGUACUGUUCUAUCUUUCUAUUAAAAAAAAAAGAUAUUUAUAUCCUAAAUAAUAGAAAUUUACAGAUCUAGAAUCCUAAAUUUGUUAAAAUUUAGAAAAGUUAUUAAACCAUUUAAUUUAAUAGUGUAACGACCAUGAAAGUUAUUAAACCACAUGAUUUAAUAAUAUAAUAGUAUUAUACUAUUAAAUCACAUAAUUUAAUAGUUUUUAUGGACUUUUAUAAAGUCCAAGAUCUUGGAACAGAACAAUAUUAUCUAAUAUAAUGUUACAUUUUAGCCUCAUCUUGUGAAAAUCUUUAUUCUUGUAAUUUUUUUUUACAAUAUAAUUACAGUACAAUGCAGAGCAAAUUAUCAUAGCAAAGCAAUGUAUGUUUUAAAUUGCAAACUCUUUGUUUUAAUUAUAAUUGGGAGAGGAAUUGUUGCUGUUAAAUUGACCAUCAAUGGCAAAAAUCUUUUGUCGUGUUUUUAUUUUAACGACGAAGUUUAUGGCAUUAAAUCAAUGCCAUAAAAAAUUAAGGGCGUGUUUGGGAUUGAGGUUGGGCAGUUGUAGUUUAAAAACUACAGUAUUAAAGUGUUUGGUAAACACUAACUGCUGUAGCUUUUAAGAUAUGUUGAUAUGAUUUUUUACUUAUAUAAUAAAAAAUCUAUUAUAUCUUUAAUAAUUUCAUCAAAAUUAUUAUUUAAAAUUUAUAUUUACUAUAUAUUAUUAACUUUUAUUUAAUAUUUAUAUAUUUUUUUUAUAAUAAUUGUAACUACAUCACCUCAAUCCUAAACGCAUCUUAAAGAAUUUUGCACGGCUCAUGAAUCAAUUGCGCAUUUAUUUAUGCCAUUAUAACUAUUUGAUGAUGGGAGCUUGCUAUGUUACAGAUUCUGUAUGUAACAGCCAAUGAGCAGCUUACACGCUGCUGCAGGAGAGAGGAAAAGCUGGUGGGACUUGGCUGAUGCAAGGCCAUAAAGGACUCAGCUGUUAGUUGCAGACGCUGCAACUUAGCUGAGUUCUUGAUGACAUAUUUCUCUGUCGUUAAAAGUCAUUUUUUUUUAUAGUGGGAAAGGCUGGCUAUAUCUGAAACAUGCCUAUAUGACUAUUGAACGUAGACCUAAUAGGUCGUUCUUAACCAGUUUCGUGUUUUAGUCUUGUUGGGUCGUGUUAAAUUGUGCUCACUUAAAUCCAGCCAUUAACUUAUUAGCUCAAACAAUGAAAGCUCAAACUUAUCUGUUGUCAUUACUGCAUUACCUGAACCGACCAUUUUAUUUAUUUUUUUGUAAUCUAAAAUAAUUAUAUAAAACAAUUAUUACAUAUUUUUAGUUUAAUACACAAACAAAAUUUUGCCAAACAAAAUUCUUUAAAAUUAUUAUACCAAAUAAAAGAAAAUCUGCAGACUGUAAUUAUUCAUGUGACAGAAUGAAAACAUUUAAAGUUGAAUGAUAAAAGAAACACAGUUUUUUGAAUAAUGAUGUUUUAUUGAAAUUAGUUUGAAUGAACAAAAUUACGGUUUUAGGCCCCCUCUAUAAUAAAUCUAAAUGUCGUGAAUUUAUCAAAAUAGGUAAAUCUUAAAUAUUAUUUUAUAAUAAAUUUUUCUCAUUUAAAUAAGAAAAGAAAGACAAGCAGUGUCCAAAUUUGAUUUCUAAAAAAAAGAUAAAAAUCCUAGAAGAAACAGGAAAAAUAAAAAAAAAUCUUAAAACUAGAAAAUGACCAAGAAAAAAACAAAAUUUUCAGCUCAACCAUAAGACAGAAUGGCACAAGCAGUUCUAGUUUGAUAUGUCUCGUCGCAAGUUUUGAAACAAUGCAUUAUAUACCAAAAAUGAACACUUGUAUCUCAAGUUAUGUUCUUCAGAAUGUACCCUACUCACCACACGCAAGUAUCUUACAUCAUCAUGUUUAAGAAUGCAUCAUCAAAUGUUGUAGUCCACAAAAUUUAAACAAUUAUUUAAGUAAGACCAUGCAUAAUACUGAAAAAAACUGCUUCAUUUUCUUAAUUAAUUCUCGAAUCACUCUAUUCUCUUUCUCUUCUAAUUAUUCCCACGCCCGCCAUCCCUUAUCUAUUUGCAAUUGCAGCAUGUCGGGGGAUCACUGCAUAUAGAAAGUAACUUAACAUGUAUUGUCACAUAGGCUGUUGCUUGGCAAUUCAUUGUUGAGGAAGUGAGUUGAACCUUUCGAAAGAAAUACUUAAUUCCGCUUUCACAAUUGCAUCAGGUGUAUAUAAUAUACGGUAAACGCUCUUUAUUCACUAGGAUUUGAACUAAUUAUCUAAUUAGUUUUAUACUUUUAAAAAUUAUUCAAAAGACUUAUGUUGUAUAUCUAUAUAUGAAUAAUUAACCCAAAUUUUAAAGAGUAAAAUUAGGAGAUUUUAAGGCAUACAAAUAAUAAUUUAAAAGCAGUAAUUAUUUUUUCUCCCAACUGCACCUAAGCAUGACUAAAACAGUCUCCCAUAUCCCAAUAUUAAUUUCGCCAUAACCGUGUGACAAGUAUAUGCAAUUUUAUUUAGCAAAUUAUCGAUCAUCAAAUUAAACUUUUCUCAUUAGCAUGAUUCUCUUAACUCUAAUUCUUUGCUUUAUUGCUGCCUUUUUGUUAAAGCCAACUCAUCAAUUAAUUUAUUAUAGUUUUAAAAUAUUUUCAACCAACAACAACAAUACCAAGCAUAUACAUCAAGGAAAAAUUAUUGAUAUCUCGAUUUCAGCUUCCCGACCCAUCACCAUUGAUUGCAUGGUCCAAUUACUGUUUUACUUUUUAUUUGGAGUUAUGGAUGUCAAUUAAUGAUAUCGUACAAAACCAUUCUCUGAUAUUUCAGCUCCAUUGCUAUAAUUCAUCAAACUCUCUACUCCAUUUGUUCGUAUAUUCAACAAUCUCUUUUCUCAUUAUCAAACCCCUAGUGAUUCUGAGAAACUAUCCUGAUUUUUUUUUUGGGUAUAUAUUCAACUCAUAGUUUUGUUUAUUUAUUUAUUAUUAUUUUCCUUUAUCAUUCGAUGGAAUAUUGGAGGCCUAAAAUAUGCUAUUUAGUGCUACUACUACGAGUAGUAGUGUUGAUUUUGAGCUUGUCAAAUUGGGCAAAUGGAGUGCAACAAGUUCCUUGUUAUUUCAUUUUUGGAGAUUCAUUAUAUGAUAAUGGCAAUAACAACAAUCUUCCAACAAGAGCUAGAGCCAAUUAUCUGCCGUACGGAAUCGAUCUCCCCGGAGGGCCAACCGGAAGAUUUUCCAACGGCCGAAACUUGCCUGACGUUAUAAGUACGAUCUCCUCCUUUCUCUGUACACGUAAAUGCAUUUAACUUUUGAAAAUUUCCGAAAUAACCUUGUUGAUCUUAUCGUCUAGGUCCCUGAAUCUUCAAUAUUAUUUAAAUAGCCCUUGAAGUCUCUAGCCUUACUACAAUAACCAUUUCCUGUGCUUAUUCUUUUUUUAUAUCCUAAAUUACAAUAUCCUAAUUAUCCUUGUGAGGUAUUGAGUUUGACCAUAUUGAGUUGCUGCGGAUAUUAGAGGGAGCAGAAUUCUAAACUAAUAUAUAAACAAAUGUAUGUACGUAUGUAAGAAGGAAUUCUAGAUGUAUAUGAGGAGGAAUUCUAGAACACAUAAAAAAUAAUACAACCAAUUAAUGCAUAUAUGACAUGUAUAAUUAAAUUUAAUAUAACCAUCAUUUGCAUGAUAAUUUUUUAAAAUAAAUAAACACAUGUCAUAAUAUCAUUUGCCUAUGGUGUAACUGAUAUGGUAUCUCUAAUGUAUUUUAAAAUUUCUAAUAUAUAAGAUGUGGAGAAUAGAAACAUUGUUAGUUUUAAAUUAAUUUGAUACGUAUAUAUGUCUCUUAUUUAAACCCCAAAUAAACGUUUAAUAUUUAAGCCAAGCAAAAAGGUGGGUACCCAAAAGCACUUUCAACAAUUUGAAGAAAAAAAAAAUAACUAGCCCGAGUCCAUUUUAAUUUCUUUGCAGCUCAACUUCUUGGAUUUGACAAUUUCAUUCCACCUUUUGCGACGGCAAGUGGUCAGGAAAUCCUCAAAGGAGUAAAUUAUGCAUCCGGAGGAGCUGGAAUUCGCGAGGAAACUGGAAGAAAUAAUCUAGUAAAUAAAACAUCCACAAGCUCUUUUCCAUUUCGUUAAUUAUAUCAAAUUUGCUAUAUCUCUCUUUACUAUGAAUUAUACAACAUUAUUAUGAAGAGUGAUCAUACAGCCAUAAAUUCUUAUACAAACUGAUUUGGUAGUAAUUCAUUAGUUGAAUGAAAAUACAAAAUCAUAAAAAUAUAUCAUGUGGGCUAACAAAUAUUUAAUUCAACUAAUUUUAUCAUGCCAUAUCAAUUUGUAUAAAAUAAAUUUAUACAAAAAGUUUCUAUAUAUAUUAUUACUCUACGAGGAAUUAUAACUGUUUGGCUACUGAGUAUUAAUGUAGUUCCAACAAGAUGGGCUUCUGUUGAGGCCUACCUCCUUUAUAUUCGUCUGCCAGACCCUCACUUUCUUAUAAAUAUUGCUAGGUUUUGUUAGGUACGCCUCUUCAAAUAGAGACAGAGUAAGUCAUGACAUAGAGACCCAUCACUGUAGAUAUUUAAAUUAUUUUUCUUAUUCAACAAUGUGGGGUAGGCUAGGUUUAAAAUUAAUGUUUUAGCCUUUAUCUCAAUUCGAACACAAGGAACUAAUCAAAGAAAAUUUUAAACUGAUAGGUCAAAAACUCCUAAGAGCCUCUAGAUAUUUUUACUAGAUACAAUAAUAGUUGUUUUUUAGACUAUGAAAAGCCUAAAUUAAUUUCUUUUUUAGGGUUGAAGUUCGAAUAAGUAGUUAAAAAGGUUUCUUCAAAACUACAUAGUCAAGCCCUUACGCUUCAUUAGAUGGAGAUAAAGAAAUAUUUGUGCAUCUAAAAAAAAAUCUCUACAGAUUCAUCGCAAAUAAGACAGCAUUAUUAAAUUAAUCAUGGAUAAUAUAAUAGAGAGCGUAGAAAUAAUGUGCUUGAGCAAUAAUCAGUAACCACAAAAGCCAUUAUAUAAACACACUAAUACAAUAAUAGAUACGAACAAAAGCGUUGGUUUCUUUUUAAUGAGCUUUAAAAGAUUGAUAGGUUCAUGCACUGAGGUUGACAAAAAGUUGGAUGCUUUUGUGUAAGGAUAGAAGUGACGUAAAACAUCUUGAAUCUGACAAUAAGUCGGGUUUGAAAAAGCGUAAACAGUGAAAGUUGUUUGCUUGAGAAAUAUACCAAUUAAGGCAAUAAAUAAAUUUAAAAGAUGAUUUGCCAAAAUUUUAGAAUAAUUAAUUACAAUUAAGUCACAUAAUCUACUCACAUAAGAUUCGGUUGCCGCUAGCCGUUGGCCGUUGGGCUAAGUAAUAAUAAAAAGAAAGUCACGUAUAUCUAACUUUAUUUUUCGAUUCGAAAUUAUUAGCGAUAUUUUUUUUAUGCACAUGAUAUAAAUCUUUGUGGGACCUAGGAGGCUAGGAUCUCUCAUAUAGAGAGGGAGGGCCAUUUCCAAAUUAUUUUGGGACCUAGGAGUCUAGGACCUCCCAUAGAGAUGCAGGGCCAUAGGUGGGCAACCAUUGAAUCAAAGAUCCGUUUGGUAGUGGUGGUGGCAGAUGCAGCGUGAAAGCCACAACGGAAUUGAUUAAAUUUCAUGAUAUUUAAAAAAAAAAAAAUUAAAGUCACAAUAUUUCAAUACCAAAUGAAUUUUAACUUGACAGGAGAAAAGUUAACCUUAAUUUUGUGACUUAAUUUUUUAAACUUUAAAAAAAUUUCAGCGGAAUAAUAUAUAUAUAUAUAUUUUACUAAAAACUCUUUAGUUGAGUCAGUUAGUCUCUUUUUUAUCUAUAAGUUGAAAUUUGGACGGUUUGAAUCUCCCAAUCAUUAUGAAGUAAAACUGAAAUAAGAAAAAAAUGAAUUGAUGUUUUGCCUGCACAAAAUGGCUCGAGUUUUCUUUUAAGUACUAAUAAAAAAGAGUUGUUUUUUUUUUCUUAUCUAAUUUUUCAGGGAGUCGUAAUUAGCCUGAACGGUCAAUUACAGAAUCACAAAACUACAGUCUCUCGCAUUGCAAGCAUACUAGGAGAUCAAGAAUCAGCUACUCAGCACCUAAGCAAAUGCUUGUAUACAGUUGGAUUUGGCAGCAACGAUUACAUUAACAAUUACUUAUUGCCCCAGUUCUAUCCAACAAGUCGUCAAUACCCGCCUGACCAAUAUGCCGCAGUUCUUAUUCAACAAUACUCUCAGAAAUUAAAGGUCCCUAUUUCCUCUUACAUCUCUUUGUUAAUUUAAUUUCCUAAUUGCUUUGACACUCAGAACGAGAUGAGGUAUAAAAAAUGGAUAAAGAUGGAACUACAAGCUCAUAUACAAAUUUAUUUUAUAUAAAUUGAUGUAUAAUUCAAUUGGUUGGAUUAAAUAGCUCUUAGCCCACAUGAUAUAUUUUUAUCUAACUAAUGAAUUUCGAUUUCAUCAGUUUAUCUAAAAUAAGUUUAUACAAGAACCCAAUUGAUAAAAGUAAAUUCUAAAAGAGAAAAAAAAAAACCAUUCUUCCUUAUCUCUUUCCACAUUAAUUCAUUUUUUUCUUAAGCAUUUCUUUCUAAAUUUUGUUUCCCUUUUUGCUUAAUAGACCUUGCAUAAUUAUGGAGCAAAGAAGAUAGCCCUAUUUGGAAUAGGCCCUCUUGGCUGUGCACCGGGCCCUGUGGCAAUGUACGGCACAAAUGGUUCUGCAUGUGUAGAUUACAUUAACAAGGCAAUCCAACUAUUCAAUACAAACCUUAAAACCCUAGUUGAUGACCUAAAUAACCAAUUCAGGGAUGCCAAAUUUAUCUAUAUAAAUGCAUACGAUCUUUUAUUUGCUGACGCAUCAGUUGGAAUACAAGAUGACUUAGUAACAACGAUAAUCGGCCCGUGUUGUCCCGUCGCCAAUCUACCCAUGAAUAAUGGUAUUUUAACGUGCAUUCCUUUUAGCACUUCCUGUUCUAUCAGAUAUGCCAACAUAUUUUGGGAUGGAGUCCAUCCGAGUGAGACUGUCAAUGUGAUCACCGGCAGAAGAGCAUACAUGGCCCUAAAUCCUACUGAUACUUAUCCAAUUGAUAUUCGUCGCCUCAUUCAGCUUCCAUUUUUGCAAUACAGGUGAUUGCGUUCUUGCAAAAGAUUAUGCUCUUCUUUUAGUGAAACCUUAAUAUUGUAUCCUACAUUAUUCAUUUGUUUUCUCUUUAUUUUACAAUAGGAAAAAAUAAAUUAAUAAUAGUUAUUAUCGCUUGUUGAAUAGCAAUAAUUAAUACUGUGGUGAGAGGAAGAAUUUUUGCUCAAAAUUUUGUUGGUGGAAUAGCUGAUCAAUAGGAUUCCAAACUAGCUUCUUUUGUGAUAUGUAUGAAUAAAAACAUAAACCAUUUCAAAUCACAGGAAUGGUGGCUUUAUAGAAGAGAUCAAAAGAGAAUCAAAGAAUAUAAUCAAAUCUACAAUAAUUGACAUUUUAUAUUUUACAUGUUCCAUAACCGCGGUAACUGUGACGACUUUUAAUUAGGAAUGUUAUAAAAGUGAAGAAAUCCACUGAUUGAUUUGAUAGGCUCAAAUGUCCAACUUACACAAGAAUACAAACUGCAUAAAACAAAUAUAAUCAUUCAUAAAAAAUUCAGGAUUUCUAUAACACCCCAAAUCUAACACAUGCAAAGUACAUGGUAGUUAUUCACAUAUCAAAAUUAUUACAUAAAAAUCUUAAAUUAAAAUACUACAAAUUUUAUUUAAAUAAAUCCACAAAUUCUUAUGUCUAGCGAAUACUAAUUAUUUUCUCCCGAAGACAUAAAUAUGACAAAAGUCUCAAAACUUCUCAAUUACAAGUUCAUAAAAUAAACUUAAGGGAAACAUGAGUUUGUCCUUCUCUUAUCCAAUUAACAAAAGUAAAUGAAUAUCUAACUCUAAAGAUGAGCAUUUCUCUCAACAAAGUACUUAGUUUGUAAAAAGUAAUGAUGAGGGGUGAGCUGCUCGGCAGGUAAAACAUUCCCAACAAGCAAGGGUUAUCAAAUAUUAAAAAUAUUGCAAUCCCUUUUUAUCAAAACAUAUAUUAUAAAUAAUAAAUAAAAUGACAGAUUAUAACAGAAAGACUUAAUUUCGUAAAUGAUUCAAACUAUCAUAAUCAUAAUUAAUCAUGAAAGCAAAUCAUAUAACACACAAAGAGAAAACAAAAAAGUUAGCUCAUGUCAAAUAGUGUCAUCUAUACUUUUGGUGACCUAGCCAGAAAUAAAAUUAGAAUCAGAAUAUUGUUGCACACUCAGAACUGAAACUUAGUAUUAGUACAAAACAUAUGUGUUGUACUAUAUGAUCAGAAUUAUAAUCAAAAUAACUACGAAUAAUGAGUCAAAACAUUUAAAUUUCUUUUUCAUAUAUAGAAAUUUGCACGUGGCACCUUGUACUAUAUGUGGUGCUUCGCGGCACUCUAGCUCUCGAGAGUUGGCCCCCGUAUAGUCUCAAGAGAUGACUCCCAAACAAUCAUAAAUAAUGUCUGUUGUAUACAUGAUCAAAACAUUCUUAUUAGACUCAUGAAAGAUCAUAAUAAUGAAUUAGGCUUGCAAAACAAAUUCUAGUAUAAUGUUUUGUAGACAUGUUAGAGUGCAAUUUAUGCACUAGUUUUGCAUUGUUUACUUCCCUUAAUAUCGAUGUUUUGCACUUAAUAAUAGUGAUUUACUUGUGUUUUAUUUUUGUAGGUGCAAUUCUAUUGAUUGAUCCUAAAAUUGAGCUAUAAGAUGAUGUUUAAGGAUGAUUGUUCUCUUGGAGAAAUUAUGAGCGUCAGAAGAACUUUAUUGAUAAGGCGUUGGCGCGUGCUGUCAACUACGGACCUGCAGUUUUUAGUUUAACGUAUUUUGUAUUUUUGGUUAUUUUUGUAAUUACGAAUUUAAUAUUUUAAAUAUUAGUAUUUUAUUUUAAAAAGAACUCUAGAGGAGAAGAGAGAGAGAGUAUUUAAGGGAGGAAUCUAUUGUGAAGAGGAAGAGAUUUUUGAAAAGAAAAAAACCCUAGAUCUAAAUUUUUCUCUUCUCUCUGUGAAGAACUAAACCUAUUAUUCUGGUUGAAGGUUAAUGAAGCUUUGAUUCAUCACUAUUGUGAGAUCUUUCUUAUGCUUUAAUUGUUUUAUUACUUUUUGGGUAUUUAUUUAUUCUCUGAAUUAUUGUCAUGAUUAUAUUUGUCAAUUAGAUAAUUGGCCACUAUUUAAUUAUCAACUUAAUAUAUUGUCAAUUAAAAGAUUCAUCGUAUGAAGAUUUUAAUAUUUGUGACAAAUAACAUAGCAGUGAGUUGUGUUAUGAGAAUAAACAAUCUAAUUUAAAUAAACCAUUGUAUGCGUUUGUUGAUUAGGAUUUGGGUCUCUCUGGUUUUUCAGGCUGUCAAUUGAUUAAAUCAUAUGAUCGUGUCUUCGGUUGUCUAUUGAUUAGAGAAAUAACCAACGGCCGUACCUUGGUUAUCGACUAGUUAAGGAGAGAUUGGCUAUUAGAGGGUCUCAGUAGCUAUAACCGGUCUAUUCAUAAGUAGUAAUAAUUCAUAUUUGAAUCAAUGAUCAGUAGUCGAAUCAAGUUGAGUUAAUUCCUUCAACCAGAGCUUUUCCCAAUUUGAAUUACAAUUUGAAUUUGCAUUCUUGUUAUUUUAAUUUGAUUUUUAUUAUUGUCAACAAUCCCCCCAUUUUGCAAUUUAUAUUUUAAAAAGGAUUUAAAUAAUUACCGAUCUCUGUGGACACGACCCUACUCAAUCACUAUACACAAUUUAUUUAGAGUAGGUAUUUAUUUUUGCUGGCUUCGACAACCAUCAAGACAAUAUCAUAAAAGAUAAUCAUUUAGAAAAACAAAUUAUGUAUUCAAAAGCAUUUAUAAUAUUAUUUUAAAAUCAUAAAAAACAACAUAAUUUUCAAAUUUGAAAACAUUUACAUAAACUAAUUUUGUUAUGAAAAUUAAUUAAUUUUCAAAGAGCUAUAAAAAUACAUGUACUUAUAAUAGACCAAAUAAUCAUAUAUGUCCAGUACAUUAGAAAUGAAAUUAUUUACCUCGAUUAAAGUAAUGAUCUAAACACACCUUUAAGCCUCUAACAGACCCAAACACCUCCAACACCUUAAACAAAAUUAUAUUAACAACUAUUAACAACUUAUUCUGAAAACUUGAUUUUCUAAUUCAUACUCGUACAAGUCUGAUUCAUAGAAUUUUAACUCUUAAUCUAAAAAUCAGAAUGACAUAAUAUUUCACAAAACUAUUUUGAACAUCCAUGGGUAUCUCUCAUAAGUUUUUCAAAAGGAUCUGACACCAAAAACAUUUUCAAAACUAUUUACUUCUUGAUAAAUUCAAAAUUGUCUCAUAGUGCCUUAACUGAACAAAAUGGGUUCCAAGAUUUUUAUAAAAGUAUACAUUAAUCAGAAAAUUAUGAAAUUAAAAUUGGAAAUACUAGACCAUACAAUAAUCUCUUAUUAAAUUUUGAGAAUUUUUCGAGUUCAUUUGGCACUACAAAUGCUAAUUUGUGAAUUUAGUCAUCCUGUUGGAAUUGCAGUUUUCUAGUGUAAUAGUGUCAGCUUCGAAAAUCCAUAUAAAAUUGCAAAUUAAGUCAAAUCUUAUAAAGAAAAAUUUAUUCAAUAUGUCCUGCAUGUCUAGUUUAAAAAAAGAUAUGGUUCUUCUUAAAAAUCUUCAAUAAAAUAUGUGUUUUGUUUCAGAAUAUUCUUGCUGUCCAAAAUUGUUCAGGAUGUUUAUCGCACCAGGGAUAAACUAACAUAAUUAAAAAAUAAAUCAGCACUCCAAACAUGACUUAAACACAUCCUAACUCAUGCAUAAUGGUUUGUAACAAUCUAAAAUUAUGCCAAUAAAAUCCUAAAUAUAGCACAAUGGUAGGGAAUUAAGUAGAGUAUGAAGAGAGUAAAACUUACCAACCCUUAAGACUCUCUCCAUAAGCAAACGUUUGAAUCCUAAGGUAUGAGUAAAAGAAUAAUGAGCAGCAGAGAGAAUAAAAGAAAAUACUGUGGAUUUAGGGUUAUGGGAGAGGGAAAAGUAUAAAUUUAUAGAGAACCUUAAGAAACUCUUUAACUUGGAAAGAGUAAGUUUUUUUUCCAAAAUUGCCCCAUGAUUCCUAAUUAAAUCCUUAUUUAUGAUUUCUAAUAAAACAAAAAUCUCAUAAUUUGAAAUCAUAGAAAUUUGGCAUUACAAUUUCAUCAUAAAUUAGCCAUGAUAAUUGACAUUGUGGUCAAUAUCAAUGCUACUUGUCAUAUUUGCGUGAUCUAGUUGUGAUCUAAUUGUCUUGAUUUUGGCUCAUAAGUGUAUUGCUUGAGAAAGAUAUUUAGAAUCUUUUAUGACGUGAUCGUCAUCAAUUUGAAUUUCAUAAUAAAUCCUCAUUUGAUGAUAAUCUCGAUUAUUAUGUUCUUAAUUUAUAUUAUUUUUAUCAAUAUCUUCAUUUGAUUCAUAUCAUCCCCUCGAGUUAGAAAGAAAGACUUUUUGGACUCCCAAUUUGUAUAGAGAUUUUAAAAAGUUUUUGGUAAAAGACAUCCCUAUCAUCCUAUCUUCUAUUAAAGGAAUUUUCAAUCUCUAAAAGUCUUAUUAGGAAACACUCCUAUAAUUAUCACAAAAAUUGACGAACUUUUCAUUAGCUAAAAAUGGUCGAUAUCAUGCAGUUAUUUGAUGGGUCAUUCUAUAAUCUUGUGAUCAAAAUUAUGAUAUUGAUGCUGUAAUAGACGUAAAUCGUUAGAUUUAAAUGAAAAACCCUCCAGCAUGAAUUCUAAAUAAAUAGGUAACUAGUUACUAAGUAACAGGUAAUUGUCCUUUUAGUUCAAGUUGCAAGUUAUGUUUACUAAUCUUAUGUGUGAUUUACAAAAUUGUGUUAUUUCACAUUUAAUGUUGAUUUAUACGUUUUAUGUAAUAUUUACAAGUUUUUAUUUUUUUUACAAUUCUGAAAACUAAUUUACAACUCCAACAUUAAUUUUUCACUUUUACCUUCAAUUUACCAGAUUUAUAUGUAAUUUACAAAAAUUUUAUCUUAUUUUACACUUAAUGUCAAUUUGUAAGUUUUAUGUUAUUUUUCUAAAUUUUUAUUUUUUUUCACAAUUCUGAAGAUCAAUUUACUACUCUAACAUUAAUUUAACCAUUUUGCUUUAAUUUACUUGUAUUAUGUAUGGUUUAUAAAAUUUUUGUUUCAUUUCAUAUUUAAUGUCAAUACUGUGAGUAUUGAAGUCCAUUAUUGAAGUCCAUGACCAUUUGUGAGGUAUCUGCCCGGUGGAUUUGAAGAAUGUUGUGCUUGUAGAAUCCCUACUGAUCUCUAGAUCUUCAACCCGGACCUCAGGUAGAUGAUUCGAAGUCGGAUCCUCAACAGCAAGGGCGUCCAUAUCAUCGAAUCAGGUCCGCGAAGAUGAUUCCCUAGUAAGCAGAGACCCUCCAUCCAUGGACAUUAGAGUAAUUGGAGACUCCAUUAAUGGAUCCGAAUUCUGGACUGCAAUUGAAGUCUGGACUCCUUUCACUUUGUUAGGUGCCGUGCUUUGCCGUUAGAGACGGAAGUCUCGAAUUGGUCCCAUAACAUGCCUAAGCAGUGUGACCGAGGUGCUUACAAGAAGUACAAUAGUUUAGGAUUUUCUUAAAGUUAACACUCUAUCGAAAUUCAAAAUCGUUCACUCCCUUUUUUCCUUCAAUUUACUAGUCUUAUCUGUAUUGUUUACAAAAAUUUUGUUUCAUUUCAAAUUUAAUGUCAAUUUACAAGUUCUAUAUUCUUUUUCUAAGUUUUUAUUUUUUUUACAAUUCUAGAGAACUAAUUUACCACUCCAACAUUAAUUUACUCAUUUUUUAUUUAAUUUACUUGCCCUCUGUGUGGUUUAUAAAAUUUUUAUUUUAUUUCACACUUAAUGUCAAUUUAUAAGUUUUAUGUUAUUCUUCUAAGUUUUUGAUUUUUUUACAAUUCUGAAGACAAUUUUAUCACUCCAACAUUAAUUUACUUCUUUUUUAUUCAAUUUAUUAGUCCUAUUUGUGAUUUACAAAAUUUUUAUUUCAUUUCAAAUUUAAUGUCAAUUUACAAGUUUUAUAUCAUUGUUCUAAGUUUUUGAUUUUUUUUUUUACAAUUUUGAAGGCCAAUUUACUACUCUUACAUUAAUAUCCAUUUUUCCUUCAAUUUAAUAGUCCCCUUUGUGGUUUAUAAAUUUUUUUUUCACACGUAAUAUCAAUUUACAAGUUUAAUGUUAUUUUUCCAAGUUUUUGAUUUUUUUACAAUUUUGAAAACUAAUUUAUUCCGGCAUUAAUUUACCCUUUCUUCCCUCAAUUUACUACUCCUAUGAGUGGUUUACAAAAUUUUUAUUUUAUUUUACACUUAAUGUCAAUUUACAAGUUUUAUGUUCAUUUUCUAAGUUUUUUAUUUUUUUUAUAAUUCUGAAGAGCAAUUGAUCACUCCAACACGAAUUUACCCCUUUUUUAUUCAAUUUACGAGUCCUAUAUGUGGUUUACAAAAUUUUUGUUUCAUUCCACACUUAAUGUCAAUUUGUAAGUUUUAUGUUGAUUUUUUAAUUUUUUAAUUUUUAUUUUUUACAAUUCUAAAGAUCAAUUUACUACUCCAACAUUAAUUUGUCUUUUUUUUCCCUUCAAUUCACUAAUUCUAUGUAUGGUUUACAAAGUUUUGUGUCAUUUCAUAGUUAAUAUUAGUUUACAAGUUUUAUGUAUUUUUUUCUAACUUUUUGAUUUUUUUAUAAUUUUAAAGACUAAUUUACGACUCCAACAUUAAUUUAUCCAUUUUAAGAAUGGCAAUGCGGUAGAGGAGAAUCAGUGGACUGGAACUUGCCUUGCCUUCUCUUCCCCUCAACAUGAUUAAGGGCAGCAGCAACAACUUAUGAUCAACACCUGGUCCUCCGCUUCAAGCACUGUCACAAUCUCGUCAAAAAUUUUUUCUCCCUCAAUUUUCUCAGAAACCAAACAAAAAACCACAACCAAAACAGAAGCACACUACCUAAAAAUUAUAAAAACGCAACUUAAAAAAAGCUUUAAGGUUAAAAAAAAAAGUCUUACGAACCCGAAUUCGUAGCCUCUUGAAUCGUCGAUGCUGAGUCGUUAUCGUCGACCUGAAACCGCUUCACGAACAUGAACCCAGCUCGGUCUUCCUCAGCGACGUUGUUGUAUAGCUUUUUCUUGUCGGAUUAGAUGCUAUAUCGUGGUCGAUUUCGAAGUCGUUGGUCGAUUUUAAACAAACUUUAAAACAUAAAUCCGCUUCUUUUUCACUUCAAGCAGAUUUCAAAGUGGUGAUUGGCAGGAAAAGAGGACCGAUCAAGGAAAACACAACCUGGCAAAUCCAAUCGCUUCGAAAAUAUAAGAUCUGGCGUGUAGCAGCUUCUUAGGUUCAAUUCCGUCACCUUCGAAUUAUAACCAUACUAUGAUUCUAUUUUGCCUUUUUUAGAUUCUGUUUUAAAAAUAUAUAUAAUUUUUUAAAUUUUAACCGGUUAAAGAAAAAAUAUCCAAAUUUUUUUAUUAUAUUAUAAUAUUGUGUGUCACUGAUUUAAUCUAAUGGUACACAAUAACUAGUUAACUACGGCUUGAUAUCAUAAUUUUUAUUACAAAUUUAUAAAAUUUUCCUUAUUUGAUUCAUCUAUACCUAAAAGUAUUUUAAUAUCAAAAUGGUAUGUUCGUUGCAAUCAAAAUAUGUUCAUUUUAUCGUGACUUCGCAUAGGCUUACUGACAAGUCUCAUUAUCAUUAUCAAAAGUGAUGACCACUUAAUAAAUAAGGAGAAGAAAACAGUUAUAUAUAUGCAUGACUGCAAUAAAUUAUUGCUUCUUUAAAGUUGGUAGUUGAUUUAAAUUAAUAUUUAUUCUACACAACUACAACAUUUUUUUUGGCUAAAGUUCCUCAUUUUCAAAGUUCUAUAUAGCCGCACACCAUGUCAUAAACAAACUCACAAUUAAUAUCUCAGAUUAUUCAACAAAAUCCAGCGACAUCAAGAUUUCAUCUAACCAUUUUGGCAUCAUUAAUUUCUCUAACUCCAAUUUUUGUUUUUUAUCAUCUUCAAGAGUCCAAUAUUGUUGAGGAAAAGACAACUUUUAAAACUCUUAUUAAAGUUUUAAUUCCAACUAAUGUCGUCAUUGCAUAAUAGGAGGGAUAUGAUAUUACUGCUUUUUUUUAUGAGGUGAUGAACGCUAAUAAUUAAUAGCAUCUAUCAUUCACAUUUUUUUUUUCAUUUUUCAUUUUGGAUAAUAUUCUACUCCCACUUGCUCAAAUUUCCUCGUUUUUUUGUCCUUUCCUAUUUAUAUAGAAACAAUUUCAUUAUUUGUAAACGUGCAUCAGACCAACUACAAUCUUUUUCUGAUUUGUAAACAUUACCACCACCAUUUGCAUUCACUUCAUGAGCAACCCAUUAGGUAUCCACUCUCCAAAUCUCAACUGCAACCUCUUUGAAUUUUGAAAUAUUUUUUUAAUUUUUUCCCUUGAUACAUAUUUUGAACUCUGCCAAUGGUAACGGAGCCUUAACUGCGGCAUCUAGCACUAUUAUUACUCUUAUUGUUCUUCAAGUUGUCCAUUACGGUAUAUGGAUUAGCACAAGAACCUUGUUACUUCAUUUUUGGAGCUUCAUUAUACGACAAUGGCAAUAACAAUUUCCUUCCAACUUCAGCCAGGGCCAAUUACCUGCCAUAUGGGAUCGACUUUCCGACAGGGCGGACGGGAAGAUUUUCGAAUGGGCGAAACAUGGUAGAUAUAAUAGGUCUUCUCUUCGUAUUUCUACAUGCACAAUUCCAUGGGUUUCAUGAACUUAAUUAGGUUCUUAUAUAUUCUUGAAGUUUAAGCAAAAUAAGUUAGUUUGGGAUCCUAAAUGAUCAUUAACUUAAUUUUGUCAAAAUUUAGUUUAAUCCAAUUGUUUGUAUGUAUCCCAUUAAUUAUUUUCCCAUCUAUAAUUAUUUUCUUUCUAUUGUAUUAACUUUGUGUAGAAUUUGAUUGAAAUUUGUUCAUGCAGCUGACCUUUUGGGGUUUGAUAAUCUCAUCCCAUCUUUUGCAACCGCGAGUGGCCUUGACAUUCUCAAAGGUGUAAAUUAUGCAUCUGGAAGUUCUGGAAUUCGUGAUGAAACUGGACAACAUCUAGUAAAUAAAACAUUCAUAUCCCUUUCACGUUAAUUAUAGAAAUUUAUAUUGCAUUAUUUGAGGGCCCCAUUACUAUAAUUACAUGAUGUAUGAAAUGGUUAAAACCCUCUUGUUCCUCGCAUUUCAAAAUUCAUCAAAAUACCCUUACCGUUAAAAAGAUUUUCUUAACUUUCGAAUUUUUUUUUUUUUUGGUGUACCUUUUUAUUAUUUUACGUGUAAAUUUUUAAUCGUAAGUCUGAUUUUAAGUGGUUAAAUAGUAAAAGACAAAAAUAGAUUGAAAGUUAACCGAAUCCUUUUAGCGGCGGGAGGCCGUUUGAUCAUUUUUCCAUUAUUCAUAUGUCUAUCAUAAUUAUAAUGCUUGGUUCCAGAUUAUAACUUUUCUUUUUCUU